rnacentral:lncRNA from 1 species
CUAGCUCUUCUCAUCAUCACCACCACCACAACAAUAACCUCAAAUCCAUUCACUUUUCACUUUACCAACAUGAGACAAUAAACAAAACAGGUUAUAUUAUAGUGAAUGGUAUAAAAGGAAAUGCUGGAGUCACACAAACAACAACACCUUUUGGAACAUUAUUUGUGUUUCAAGAUCCUUUGACUCUAACAUCAAAUAGAUCCUCUAAACUAGUUGGAAUUGCUGAAGGUACUUCCAUCACCUCUAGUCUUGAUGGGCUUCGAAGCAUUUCGAUUGCGAAGCUAACUCUUCGUUUGAAGAAUCAUAAGGGUUCUGUAUCUAUUGUUGGUGGAACAAACAAUGUUAAAGCUUCGGAUCAUCCUAUAGUUGGAGGUACUGAAGAUUUCAUGUUUGUUCAAGGAUAUGUUACAUCUUCUCCGGUUGAUCUUAAGGGUCUUACUGUUGUUUAUAAGAUUGAGUUUCAUAUUUAUUGGCCUCCAUAUGCAAUUCAAUCCUCAUAAGGAUAUGGAGACUUGAAAUGAAUUUCAAUAGUUUAUGUUUUUAUUGUGUAAACUUAGUAGGGUCAUAAUUAUAAGGGUUUAAUUAAGUUUUUGGUCCCUAUAAAUAUCUGCAGUUUUGUUUUUAGUCCCUAUAAAAAUAAAUUACACUUUUUAGUCCCCACAUAAUUUUUCGUUAGUGUUUUUAGUCCCUCUAAAAUUUUCCGUCAGCAUUUUUAGUCCCUAUAAAAAAAUUCCAUCAACAUUUUUUAUCCUUAAAAUGCUUAAGGAAAAUGUCACAGGGACUAAAAAGUGUGAUUUUAUUUUGUAGGGACUAAAAACAAAACUGUGCAUAUUUAUAAGGAUUAAAAACUUAAUUAACCCUGAUUAUAACAUCGAAAAUAUAUUGGGUGUCUGGUAUAUGUCUCUAUCAAUGCUUUAUAUAUAGCCAAUAAAUAUUACAAUUUUUAUUUGAGAAAAAAUGUUGAGAACUAUUUUGUAAGUUUUUUUUCUUUUUGUCAUGAACUAUUUUGUAAGUUUUUUUUUUUUUUUUCUUUUUAUCAUGAACUAUUUUGACUGAACUUCUACCUAUUAGUUACCGUUGUGAAAGUGAUUUAAAAUUGGAGUUUUGAAUCUGUCGAAAUUCGGGCCCGAAUAGUGUUGUCUGGAGCCCGAAUAUGCCUGUGUUUUUCAGCCUGUUGGUACGUGAAAAUUCGGUGGCUGAAUGGAGGAAUUCGGGGCCCGAAUUUGCUAGCAGAAACAUAUUUUUGAGCUGAGAUUUGUUCCAAUUUUAUGAGGGAUACUUUUACUAUAAAUAUAGACCUUGUAUCAUAGUAAACCUUGAGAAAGAGGGGGCUAAAAACAAAGGUUUAGAAACAAGCAACAAAUUAGUGUUUGUAUAAAGUUUGCUCUUGGCAACAAACACUAACGUUAGGGUUGAUUCACCUUGGGAAACACUAUUAGGAUUGAGUCUCUUGGUCACCGGAAGAGAUUGGGACUUUGGGUAGAAUUAGGUGGAAGACUUAUUCUUGUAACUCAUUGAUAUCUCUUUUGUAAAAUUACUCAUCAUUAUAGUGGAACAGAGGGCUGCUCUCUCCCCCCCAGACUAGGUCAGUAUUGGACCGAACUGGGUAAACAAAUUUCGUGUGUUCUCUUUUUUCUUUUCUCUCGUUGUUUUCUACUUUUGGCUUGUAUUUAUAACUUCCAUACACUUUGUUUUGGUUACUUAAUUAUUACUUGCUCCACACAUCAAGUAUUUUAUUGGUGUGAUUUUCAUGAAAUUCACAAAGGUUAUCAAUUUGAAUUUUGUUUCUUAGAUGUUAAUUCUUAUGGUUAAACUUUUUUGUUUUAUAAAUAUAAGGUAAAGCUUUCAUUUUGUUUAUUUGAAAUAUUACUUUAAUAGAGAAAUGAAGAUUGGUAUCAAACUUGUUAUUAACUUUAUCAUCAUAGUCACCUAUAACUUUUGCAAGUAUUCGUUUAGACUUCAAUGUGUACCCAAGCAAGAUAUAGAUCUCACUUUAUUUCUGAAAUGAUCGAUGCUCCAAUUGAUAUCAAGCAAAAUAACAACUACAACUUACCGUGGAAAAAUGAUGAAAGCAAUAAGAAAUGACCAAGUGUGAGAUUGAUUCAAUUGAGACCCUCUCCAUUUAAUUAAAUAAAUAAAUAAAUUAAGAGUUUUAUAUGGAGAAACAUAGACACAAAAUAUAUAGUAGAUCACACUAUAAGUGUCUUUCACUAUCAUAAAUUUUUAUUUAAACAUUUCAAUUUUCUUUGUUUAUAUCUCUCUAAGUAAAGUCUUAUUUUUCUUUUUGAAAACGGAGAGGAUCCUGGUCUUGUAUCCGUGUAACAAAAAAUGAUUAUGAGUAAAUUGAAUUUAAACUGUUGUGAAAAUUGAGUCAUCAAUUAAUUUUACUGUUGAAGUUGAGCCUUCUCCUGAUGUGAAGAAUGGUGCCAACAUCUGAGGUGGAGGUGCAACCAUCACCUGAUGCGAUAUGGAGAUUGGAGAUGGCUGUCUAUCUAGUAUAUGGUCAAUCAAUUGCAAUGGAAAUUGAGCCGUCAGUUACUGUGGAAGUUGAGCCAUUGCUGAAGCCAUAUGAAAUUCACAUGACUUGCUAAAAGAGUUUUGCUGGAAUAGACGUUCCAACAUUUUGUGGUUGGGCGUACCUUUGUCCUAUGUGUUUUCCAAUAUAUACAUAGAAGAGAUUAUGAAUUAUGUGGUUAUUAUUUGUUUUAAUUAAUGUGGCAAUGAAAUCUUGUUGAGUUCAUUUCUCAUUAUUCAGGACCUCAAGAUUGCUUAACUAGACAAGAUGUGUUGUUGUACAAUUGUUAAGACUUAAGAAUAUAUUGGUGGAUGCAUAGUUGUGAAUUUAUGGCUUUAGUUGUGAAUCAUGAUUUUUGUCUUGUGAGAGCCAAUAAUGCUGAACUUAGAUCUUUUGGAUGGUACCUUAAAUUUUAUAUCAGUAUACUGAAUUAAUGUCAAGUCUAGAGAAAGGUUGUUGGCUUAUAGUGCCAGUUUACUGCAGGGUUAUCUGUGUGAAGUGUAGCAGGAUUGAAGACUUGGACUCUGAGUGAUUUUUUAUGUGAAUAUUAAUGUCAAAUUUAGAGAAGUUUGUUGAUUAAUAGGUUUUAUCUAUAUUGAUGAUUAUUUCAUUAUGAAAUUUUAUUUCUUUUUAUUAAUCUCUAGCACAAUUUUCAUUCUUUUAGUUCAUAUCACUGUUUAUUAAGAUUUUGAAAUACAGGUAAAAGCAUAUUUCAGCCUAGCACUUCUGGAAGAUAUGCUAGAGCACUUUUGGACAUUUUGAAUGGAAUGGGGAUGGGUUUUGGUAGAAAUUCAUAAAAUUUACGGGACAGGAUAGCAGUGCAGUGCAACCAUCACCUGUUUUGGAUUUUUUUUCAUGUUAAACUAGUUAAAAACCCAUGUUUCGCACGGGUUGAAUAUCCCGUUUUUUAAAUUAUUUGUUAUAUGUUUGAAUGAGUUGUAUUUAAAAAAAAAAAAUUGUUUAUUGUUAAAACUUAUUAGCAUUUGAACUUGAAAGGUUUAUAUGAUAAACUGUCAAAUUCACAGGUUUAUAAACUAAAAAGGAGAGGAUAAAUAGAUUUUAGUAUAGAGAAAUAAAAGCAUAGUUGACGCUUGAGCAAAUUAAGACAAAAUAUGACACAUCAAACCAAUAAACAGAAAAUUACCAAACAACAGAGACAAAAACCGACAAUUAAUAGUCUUAGCAAGUUUUCCAAAAUACCAGAUGUAAUUGUUAAUGAGGCCUUCUCAUCAAAAGAGUAUUAAUCCCAGAUGUUUUGGGGGCAGAAUUUUUCCCUUACUAUGAACAGCAGAAAUAGCACAAUUAUUUUGGGGCAAAUUUCUACAAACACUUCAAUAGAAUUCCAAAAGAGGGAUCAAGAAAUGACUAAUACAAUGAGUUCUAAAAAUUAAAGAAAAAUGUAGCUCCAAUAAGCCUCCUUUUUCCUUUCUUCCAAUCAACCUGUCAUGGACCAACUACGGUGUCUAGUGUGCUUGAAGUUGGAGUUGCUGUCCUGUGAUUCGAAAAGGACCCAUGUUAAAAAGGUGACAAAAAAAACAAAAACAUGAGAAAAAUGAAUGCAUAAUUCUCAAAAGUGCAGCCACAUUUCUUUCUAAAAAAAUAAAGAAAUCAGCUCCAACCAUGAUGCCUAAAAGCCAGUACCAGAGGUGAUCACACAAUUUAUUCAAUUAGAAAGCAGUUGGUACUCAUUCCAAUGCUCCGAUCACUGAUAAAUAACAAAUAAGUAGGUUAACAAACAUACGUCCAACCAGCUGGUAUGAAUGUUAAUACAAUAAUACAAACACACUCAUUUUAUAUGUUAUGAAGUAAAUGGAACUGAUAUAACUUUGAAGAAGAAAAAAAUUGUUUUUCUUUUUCUCAUUUAUGUAAAGAUCUAUGAAUAGUAAAGCUGUCCAUGUCCAAAGAUACGUGCCACUUGCCCAUUGACAUGUUACUCGCUUUAACCUUUCACUAUACAAAUUUUACGUCUUUACCUUUCAUUUAUGUACUGGAGACCGACCAAAUAAUGAUCAUUCAUGAGAGAUUGAAUUUUCUUUUCCAUGAAUCAUCUUUUAGUUAUAAAAACAAAAACAAAACAGAUUCAUUUAAGCUUGAUAUUGUUAAACACUUAUAAAUAGAUAAGCACUUUGCAAUAUAAUAACCAAACUUAAAGAGUACUCACAUCAAACUAUAAUUAUGAAAUGACAAGGAUUUUUAAACAACAUAUUGACCUACAUGAAUUAACAUAAAUUCAUGCAAGUAAAUCAUUGAAGAUGAACUAACUUUCCACUCAUUGAGACCAAACUUUGAACAUAUUCCUUCACAAAAAACCAAUUUAUUCCAUUGAGAAUUUCAGUCGGCUCUAAUCUUUUAUCUCUCCAAUUAUAAAGAUAUGCUUCACCUCCUGGAAUUGCCUGCCAAUUUGCAAGCUUUAGUUCACAUUUUUAAUAUCAGAAAUCAUGAAUUAUGUCAUAGUCUUGGAUUCCUUAAAAAAAUCAUAUAGUCUUGGAUGAUUUCAAAAGGAACCAAAUUGUUAGAAAUAACCACAUUAGUAUAUAGCAGAGACCAGAUGUGCAGGCCUGCUACUUUAAGUAGAUUCGAUUGUGAAAAUUGAAAAUUAGAUCAAUUCCCUCGUUAAGAAUCAAUAAAAUUAAUAAUGACUUUUAACUCAUUCAAACAUAUAACAAAGAAUUUAAAAAACGCGGUAUUCAACCCCAUGAUAACACCUACCUAUGUGAUUGCAAUGUAAACUUCAGAAAGUUCAUAUGUAUUCACUGCCAAAGCGUUGUUGUCAUAGAAGUUUCUGGCAUCUUGCUACCUCAAAAGAUUGCAUGUCACCCUACGCCAUUUCGUAUUAAUACUCUUGUGACAACAACUUAGGAAACGAAAGCAUCUGAACCUUUGACGGUAAAGAAUGCAGGCAGUACUACAACAGAUAUCAGCCUGCAACUUUCUUUUCAGCAAGAGUAAUCAAUUAACUGAAUAUAAAUGAAUAAUUUGAAUAUAUUUCACAAGCCCUAUACUUAGUCAGAGGAUGGAUGUGAAUCCAUGCAUAGAUGCACCAAUUUUCUUUGGUAUUGCCCAAAGUAUUCAUCAACUGCAACUACAUCUUCAUUUUCAGGAUAUAAAGCAUGCAAGUUAGUAUCCUAUCAUUAACCGAUGAACUUUAUUCAUCGCCAGUAAUACCUAAGUCAGAAACAAUCUCUGCAUGGAUUUCACGGCAUGCAAGGAUAAACAUUGCACCUGUAUCGGGUAGCUGAGCCUCACGAAGAGAUGCCAAUGCUUCUUGUAGUGCACAGCGGCAACAUACAAAAUCAGAGCCCUGCAUUGGGUCAUUUGAGUUAAAAUGGAGUGAAUAGUGGUAGAGUUAAGAUAAAAAGGAUAAAUUAAACAGUGGUACCUCCAGAUAUUAUGUUCACUGUGCAGGACAUAUCCAGCCCAUCUUUGCAACACUCUGCAAGAAUACUAAAUAUAGGAAGAUCUCCUCGUCAAGAUAGUGUACAAUUCAAAUAACCUUUUCAUUCAUAUAAAUGCAGAUAGUAAUCAUCUUGGAAAGUCAUUUCAAAAUUAUUAUGUAGAACGGAAAAUGGUUCAAGAAAAUUGGCCACGUGCAUUAUGCCGUUAACUAAAAAGGAAAAUUCGGCUUGAUUAAUAUAAAAAUAUGGAAUAAAGUAUAGGCAGAAAAGGUGUAGACACACAUGAAGAUCAUUUAACCCAGUCGAAAAACAUAACUAUCAUAAUAAUGUUUCUAACAGCACAAACUCUUGCAUUGAUUAACAUCAAGCAUUCAAAUACUUAUAAUUACACAUUAUCUAAAAUGAUUCUUAAAGGUUAUAAUAUGUUUCGUUAAAGAACAACUUUGAACACCAAAAGCAUACCAAAAGGAUCAGAAUAUUAUCAAAAUGAUUGAAUGACCAAGUGAUAAACUGGAAGUAGGUUCAAAUUUGAAAUUUAGUAUAAAAACAUAUUUAAUAUCUAGCAGCUACAUGAAAGUUCAAUCAAACUGAAACACCGAAGAUCGCAUAACAAAAAAAAAAAUCCAAAAUAGACAUGUAAGGCCUCCUCUUUGCUAGUUUAAGCCUUGGUCUCAAGAAGCUUGUCAAUCAUUUCAGUAGCUUCUUGAAUGGUAAUGAUCGUCUAGGCACUUUCUUCUUCCACACUAAUGCCAAAUUCCUCCUCAAGUACCAUUACAAUCUCAACCUGCACAAUUUGAAAUGUAAAUCUACAUAAUCGGGCAAAAGAUCGUAAAAUAUAAACCAAACACUGUUCUGAUUUUCCUGCUAUGAAUCAAAUACAUAUAGCAUGCCAUUUGAUCAUAUAGCUCAAGCAGUAAGGGUAGUGUGACUGUGAUGUAAGGGUAUAUGGUAAUAUAGAUACUUCACAAAAAAGUAACAUCUUUAAAAAAAAUCAUGUCAAGCAGGAUACAGACCAAGACUCUGUUUGGAUAAACAACUUAAUUAAGCACUUAUCAUAUUUUGUAAAAAAAAAAAAAAAAAAAAAAAGGUGUUUAAAGCACAAAUGCUCUUCGUAUAGGUGUUAAUGUAUAUGAUCUUCCUAUAACACGUCAGUCCAUUUUCAUGUAAGCUAUAAGUUAUUUGCAUAAGGUAUCUAGAAGAGCUUAUGAAAGUAAGCUGAAAAAAGUUUAUGAGCAUGUCAUAAGCUCUUUCAAACAGUCACAAGUACUUAUAUGCCUGUAGAUAGGUUCAAAUAAGUCAAUCCAAACAUGCCCUAAGACAACCACUGAAAUAAAAAAAAAAAACUAAAAUUGCUUAAACAAACUAAGAUGUUUUAUAAUUGACACAAUAAUAGUAAACUGUUAACUAAACUCGAUUGACAAUCAGUGGCGUUUUAUCUUAUCAUUAGACACAAUAAAUAUAGACCGUAGAUUAUAAACUAAAUAUAGCUUGCUUGCAUAUAGUUAACAAUGAACACAUGUAGUUACUUGUAUGUAUUUCCAGUUUAUUUCAGUACUUAAGUGCAGCUUAAUUCUUUCUCUUACCAGAACAUCAAAUACUUAUGUUAGAAGAGAAACUAAUAACCACUAAAAGGAUGGUCAUGGAUUUGAGGAGAAUCCCAUCACAGUAUGCCACAGUUAAAUAUGAGGGCUUAGAAGCGCUUGUUUUUUAUACAAUGCAUCGACACUCUCAUUGUAAAAAACCUCUUGCUCCAACAAAUCAUGAGAAGAGAGACAAAAACAACAGGAAGGGAAAAAAAUAUCUAACUAACAUCAAGACAUAUAUGUAUAGUUCAAAUAUCAAGUGGCUAGUAAAUAAAAUCAACAAUAGCAAAAACUGAAAAAGCUAAAUUUUCUUCAAUGAUUAUGUAUUAAAAAUUCGCAAUUUUCCACUACAGUAAUUAGUAGAUAAUAAAUAUAAAUAUACCGUGUCAAGAGAAUCAGCUCCGAGUGCGGUAAAUUUUAGACUCUCCUGUAACGGUUGAACCUUCUGACACACGGCCAAUAAUUUUGUUUUAGUUCUCUGCAUUAGAACUGUCCAGUAAUUUUGUUUUAGUUCUUUGCAAUUCUAAGCACGUAAUCAAUAAUAAUUAUUAGGGUUAAUUAAAUAAAUGGUCCCUAUAAAUAUUUAGAAUUUUGUUUUUAAUCUCUACAAAAUAAAAUUACACUUAUAAAAUCAUACUUUUUAGUCCCUGUAAAAAUUUUCAUCAGCAUUUUUAGUCCCUAUAAAAUUUUUCCAUCAGCAUUUUUAGUCCCUAUAAAAAAAUUUCAUCAACAUUUUUGGUACCUAAAAUCCUUAAAGAAAUUGUCACAAAGACUAAAAAGUGUAAUUUUAUUUUGUAGGGACUAAAAACAAAAUUGUGAAUAUUUAUAGGGACUAAAAAACUUAAAUAACAAUAAUUAUUAUAGCCAUAAGGCAUCAUUGAUAACUCCAACAUAAAUGAAAAUCUUGAACAGAUAACAUUUUGACGAUUAAACGUAACAUUUUGACACCUGAGCUUUUAAAAGAUAACGUUUUGAUCCAAGUCAACAACUUAAUGGUCACAUCAGCAUCAGUUAAUUAUUAACUGACAUCACGGGUAACGGUGAAAUAUUUUAUCAACUAAAAUGACAUAUUUGAAACUUUUAAAACUUAAAGGACUAAUUUGAGAAUUUCGUCAAACUAAAAUGAUCUAUUUGAAACUUUAAAACUUAAAGGACUAACUUGAGAAUUUUGUCAAACUAAAAUGACCAAACGUGAUAUUUGACAUUUUUAUAAUAAUUUUAUGUUAUAUAUGAUUAUAGAGAUUUAUUUAUAUCAUAUACAAAAUAACAUUUGUCUCUAUUUUUUUUUUUUUUUACUUGCAUUACAUGUUAACAUCUGUUAGCGCAAUAUGUUUAUAUUUUAACUAAACAUGAAAUUUUUAACAAUGUUAGUAACAUACUAAAUUUGUUACGUGAGUUUAAAGGUGACAAAUGGGUUGACCUGGACCACCUCAACCCUACCCGAGAGGCAUAAAUAUAUAAAUGGGUCAGUUCGGUCCAAUCCAUUUAUAAUUAGGCUGUAUAUUAUUGAGCUCGAUCUGGCCUAUGUGGGUAAUAGCUCAGCCUGACCCAUGUGAGUGGUCAGCCCGACCCGUUUUAGUUUUCUUUUUUUAUUUAUUCGCUCCUUUUUAUGUAUUUUUUAUAUAUUACUUGCUCACAAUUAUCUUUUUGCUAAAAUAUGAUUUGAUGGACAAAGAAGUGUAAAUAAUUUUUUCAUUAACAAUGAAUAUUAAUUAAACUCUAAAUUAUUCCUUCUAUUGAAUCAAAUUAAUAAUUUAUAAAAUUUAGAAUUUUAAAAUUUUGAGCUAAAUUCAUUCAUUUUUAUUAAGUUUACUUAUUUAAAUAUUUUUUUUAAUAAAUUUUGAAUUAAUUGAUAAUUUUUUCAAAAAUAGACUUUUUCAACAUAAAAAUCAAUUGAAAAUAUUGAUAAUGGGCCGGCCCAAAGCUCGAUGAGUCAGUUCGACCCCAUUUUUAUAUGAAAAAUGAUGUUUCACACUUCUUAAAAUGUUGAAAAUCACCAGUAAAUGACUGAAAUGCUCCGGCGGCAGUUAACUGCCGAGGAAAGAAACUGGCGGCAGUUAAUUGUCGAUGCUCUAUUAUGAGAACAUAACAGACAUUGGAGUUUUCAAAACUCCAUUGUUGCAGUUUUGGGAUUCUUAGGUUUUGACAAGGUUAAGUCAUUCCAAGCCAAUUUCAAGCACAAAAUCAAGUAAGUGUUUUGAAUCCUAUGCCAUUGGUUUUUUUUAAUUUUAUUGAAUUGUUAUAUUUUUCGGAACUUUUUUUGAUAUAUUUAGGUUUUGUUGAUUUUUGAUUUGAUGAAGAUUUUUGAUUGAUUUGUUGUAUGUUGUUUAGAAUAGAAUUGAUUGAAUUGUGUUAGAAAAUGUUAGGAAUUGGUAGAAAUUGUUAGGUAUCAUUAGAAAUUGUUAAAAAUAGUUAAGUAUUAUUAGAAAUUGUAAAAAUUGUUAGGAAUUUGUGGUAAAAUAUUUGAUCUAAUGUUUUGACCUGAUGUUUGCAUUGUGUAGAAAUGUCUCCGAAAUAGAUUGAUGCUGCUCAAUUACAAAAAGAUGGUGAGAAGAAGAAUGGAAAAUCGAUUGUGACAUGACACCGAAUCGAAUGCGAUGGUUCCGUUAAAAAAAGUGAUUUGAAAGUGCCGGUGUACAACCAGUUCAGACUGAGGAGGAGCAGGAAUACAUGUUAUUUCGGUCCUCAGCAAAAAGUAGGUCCCUAUGGACUGUCGAGAACAACUCAAUUGAUUUGUGUGAUGAAGAAGAUAAUUGAAUGUAACGCCUAAUUGUUUUGGAUCUUUUUUUUAUGUUUAUUUUAUAUGUCGCGCAUUUUAGUUUACAUUUUGGUACUUCAAAUAAAGUCGCGUAUUGAAUAAAUUCAAUUAAAGUCGCGUAUUGAAUAAUUUCAAUUAUAGUCGCGUAUUAAGUAAUCUCGAUUAAAGUCGCGUAUUGAAUAAUUUUGAUUAAAGUUGCAUAUUAAAUAAAUUCGAAUAAAAGUUACAUUACAUUUACAUAAAGUUCCUAAAAUAUGUUCUAUCAUUACAUUACAUUACAUUCGGGUAAAGCCUUCCAACUACAACAAUUAUCUAACCUCUAAAAUGAGGUUAAUUCAAACUUGCUAAACGACAGCUCUCAAGCAUUCGCCAAGAAGUUCCAUUAUUCUAUUCAAAAGAUUAAAUUCUUGUUAGUUUGGUUUAGAUGAUGGUAUUGAACUAUCAAAAGAAUGAGGUGCAUUCCGUGACACUUCAAUAUGAUCAUCCAAACCAAACUAACAAGAAUUUAAUCUUUUGAAAGGAACAAUAGAACUUCCGGGUGAAUGCUUGAGAACUGUUGUUUAACAAGUUUGAAUUAUCUCAUUUCAGAGGUAAGACAAUUGUUGUAGUUGGAAGGUGCAUUCCAUACCUAAUCACGAUCUUCUGGCGGAAUCAAACUGUUGAUAAUAUUUUCAGUUGAUCUCAGCAACGUCACCCACAUAUCGAUCCACGGUAACAUGCUGUGCUUCUGAAAAAUGUUUGUCAUGUCGUCGUCGUUCAUUAAUUCCACCCAACUGAAUGAUAUUCUCCCAUCGUCGAACGUUGGACGUUUAUACCGAACGUAUUCCACCCUCCUUGUGUCUCCGGGGUUGACUCCUUAGUUGAAUUCAUUAAGUUGAUCCUUGAGACCUUUUAAUGUGACACCAAGGUACCGAACCUUCAACCUCUGAGGUUCUCCACCUUUGAAUUGUGCUUGAACGUCGAACAAAUUGUCCAUUGUUUCGGAUCUACACCAUAAGAAAUUAAAAACAAUAAACGAAAAAAUCAUUCAAACAUUUCAUCAAACACUUGGAGUGUAAAUUAUACAUAAACCCUAAAAAUCAUAACUAUAAAAUAAAAGUGCAAAAAAUUGAACAAAAUUAAUCAACUUAUAUCUAUUCUUAAAAUAAAUCAUAUACUCUUACUUGUAAAUCUACUCAAAAACUAAAAUUAAAAAAAAAAAACACCAAAAUCUAAAAUAAUCAUAAAAUUCAAAAGUAUAACAUAAACACCAUGGAAACAUUUUAAUAAAAUUAAUCAACUUACAUCUACUCUAAAAAUGAAUUAUAACAUGUAAAUCUACUCAAAAAAUAAAAUAAAAUAAAUCAACUCAAAAACUAAAAAGGAAAAACAUUUAUAACAACUAAAACGUAAUUUAAUAGUACUAUAAUUACUUACUUGUGAUUUUGUAGAAUAAAUAUGGUUGGGAUUUUUUGAGAGAUUUUGAGAGAGACUUAGGACAUUUUGUGAGAUUUUGAGAGUAAUAAUGGAUGAAAGAGUUUCUACCUGAAUUUGUAUUUGGAUCGUAUCGGCAGUUAACUGCCGAUGGAAUCCUUGGCACUUAACUGCCGUCGGUUCCAUCGGCACUUAGCUACCGCUUCUUUAAUUUAUUGGCAGUUAACUGUCGCAGAAACUUUUUAGUCAUUUAGAUGUGUUUUUCGCCCAUUGAUGUUGUGUCAACAACAUUUUUCUUUUUAUAUGUGGGUCAAAUGAAAAAAAACUCCAAGUGCAUUUUAGGCUAAUUUGUUUAGGCCCAAAUCCCAUUUUUUACGGCUCUACUACUUGAGACAGCGCGACAAUCAGGCUGCCUUUCAACUGCUCAUCCAAUUGAUCCUAUGCUUGAAAGUAGACUCAAUACAGUAGUCAACGUGAGUCAUCGUCGUGACCACAUAUAUAAGUAAGUAAGUAAGAUGGAAUGAUAGAUCUCAUUAUUAUUACUCUUUGAUCGAAGCAAUAAUGCCUUCCUCCUCUGAUCAUCCAUGGAUAUACGACGUGUUCAUCAAUUUCAGAGGAAAAGAUACUCGCAACGAUUUCGUUUCUCAUCUCAAUGCUGCACUCCAAAACCGUGGAAUCAAGACUUUUCUUGAUGAUGAGAAACUUGGAAAGGGAGAAAAGCUGGGACCACAACUAGAGAAAGCAAUUGAAGGGUCUCUGAUAUCUAUUGUUGUUCUCUCACCGGACUAUGCAGAAUCUAGCUGGUGUCUUAACGAACUUGUACAUAUCUUGAAAUGCCAAAAAACUUAUGGCCAGGUGGUCAUGCCAGUAUUUUAUCAUGUUGACCCAUCAGUUGUCCGUAAGCAGACGGGUGAUUUUGGAAAAGCCUUGGAACUCACUGCUACAAAAAAAGAAGAUAAAUUGUUGUCCAACUGGAAAACCGCACUCAAACAAGUUGCAACUAUAGCUGGCUGGGAUUGCUACAAUAUCAGGUAAUCAAUACUUAUAUUCUUUAGUAAAGCUUAACUUUUUUAAAUUAUGUCAUAAUUCAUGCUCAUUCUUUGUCUUUGUAACUAUUAUUACCCAAGGAAUAAAGGGGAACUAGCGAAGCAAAUUGUUGAGGCCAUUUUGAAAAUACUAGAUAUCUCAUUGUUGUCUAUUACUAAAUAUCCGAUUGGAUUGGAAUCCCGUGUGCAAAAAAUUACCAAGUUUAUUGAUAAUCAAUCAAACAAAGUCUGCAUGAUAGGGAUAUGGGGAAUGGGUGGAUCCGGGAAAACAACCACAGCCAAAGCUAUCUACAAUAAAAUCCAUCGUAGGUUUGAAGGUAGAACAAGUUUCUUUGAAAGUAUUCGAGAAGUUUGUGAUAAUAAUUCUAGAGGGGUUAUUCAUUUACAACAACAACUUCUUUUAGAUCUCCUGCAAAUAAAACAAGAGAUUCAUAGCAUUGCAUUGGGGAUGACUAAGAUAGAGAAAAGACUUCGAGGACAAAAGGCUUUCAUCGUACUCGAUGAUGUGACCACACCCGAGCAAUUAAAAGCCCUGUGUGCAGAUCCUAAGUUGUUCGGUUCGGGAAGUGUAUUGAUUAUUACAACUAGAGAUGCACGCCUUCUCAACUCACUUAGUGACGACCAUAUCUUCACAAUGACGGAAAUGGACAAAUACCAGUCCCUUGAACUUUUCUGUUGGCAUGCUUUUCAACAACCAAAUCCUAGAGAAGGUUUUUGUGAACUCACUAAAAAAGUGGUUGCUUAUUGCGGAGGAUUACCAUUGGCUCUUGAAGUCCUUGGAAGUUACUUAUCAAUGAGGAAAAAACUAGAAUGGAAAAGUGCACUAUCAAAAUUAGAGAAAAUUCCCAACAAUCAAGUGCAACAGAAACUGAGAAUCAGCUACGACGGCUUAGAAGAUUAUACUGAAAAGGAUAUAUUUCUUGACAUAUGUUGUUUCUUCAUUGGAAAGAACAGAGCUGAUGUUACAGAGAUACUUAAUGGCUGUGGGCUUCAUGCUGAUAUUGGAAUAGUUGUCCUCAUUGAGCGCAGCCUCAUAAAAGUUGAUAAAAAUAACAAGCUUCAAAUGCAUGAUUUGCUCAGAGACAUGGGAAGAGCAAUUGUUGGCGAAAUUUCAGUCAAAGAGCCUGCAAAGCAUAGCCGAUUGUGGUUUCAUGAUGAUGUGCUGGAUGUUUUGUCAAAAAAAACCGUAAGAACUUUUGGCCCAUCCCCUAUAAUUUUCUCAAAUGUAUUAUUUGAAUUUUCAUUCUCAUGUUCAUUACAAAUGUGCUUAGGCUGCUUCAGCUCUGCAGUUAUAUACUAACAUAUUAACAUGUAUUACUUUCUAGCUAUGACGCACCAACACAAACACGACAUUUUAUGGUAAGACGUCAACAGUGGUAAUCAAUUGAGAAAAAAGAAACGAUUGAAUAAAAUCACAUGUGUAUAUUGUCUGGCACCAACUUGUGUCGGAUGCAAAAUACGUCCUCAAUAUGAAGUGUCGAUGCUACCUAGCUUUCUAGCAAGCAAGGAAAAUGAAAAACAUUUUCCCUUACUUUUCUCAGCUUUUUUUACUUCACAUGCAGGGAACAGAUACUAUUGAGGGAAUGAUUUUGAAGUGCCAAAGAACAGGCAGGAUUAUAUUUGGUACUAAUUCUUUCCAGGAGAUGCAAAAGCUGAGGCUUUUAAAACUUGAUGGUGUUCACCUUAUGGGAGAUUAUGGGUUAAUUUCCAAACAACUAAGAUGGGUUGAUUGGCAACGAUCUACCUUCAAAUUUAUACCGAAUGACUUUGAUCUGGAAAAUCUAGUUGUUUUUGAAUUAAAACAUGGCAAUGUUAGACAAGUUUGGCAGGAGACCAAGGUAUAACAACAUUUGCUUUUAAAACUCACAGGUUGAUGACAUUAUAAUCUGUUGCAACCUUCACAUUUUCCAUUUUCUUUUGUUAUUUUUCUUUUAAAUGAUCAUUUUCUUGCAGCUGUUAGACAAGCUGAAAAUUCUCAAUCUCAGUCAUUCUAAGUACUUGAAAAGCACUCCUGACUUUGCAAAAUUACCAAAUCUAGAAAAGCUAAUUAUGAAGGAUUGUCAAAGUUUGUCCGAGGUGCACACGUCCAUUGGAGAUCUCAAGAAUCUUCUUUUGAUAAAUUUUAAGGACUGUACAAGUCUUGGCAAUCUCCCAAAAGAGGUCUAUAAAGUGAGAUCAGUGAAAAGUCUCAUUCUUUCUGGUUGUUCAAUGAUUGACAAAUUGGAAGAAGAUAUAUUGCAAAUGGAAUCCUUGACAACUUUAAUUGCAGCAAAUACUGGUAUCAAACAAGUGCCCUAUUCAAUAGCAAGAUCAAAAAGCAUUGCAUAUAUAUCUCUAUGUGGAUAUGAAGGAUUAUCAUGUGACGUUUUUCCUUCUCUCAUUUGGUCUUGGAUGUCACCAACCAUAAAUUCCCUAUCCCUUAUUCAUCCGUUUGCAGGCAAUUCAUUGUCUCUAGUUUCUUUGGAUGUAGAGAGUAAUAAUAUGGACUAUCAAUCACCGAUGCUUACCGUCCUUUCAAAGCUUCGAUGUGUUUGGGUUCAAUGUCACUCAGAGAAUCAACUUACUCAAGAAUUAAGAAGAUUUAUUGAUGAUCUAUAUGAUGUGAAUUUUACUGAGUUGGAAACAACAUCAUAUGGACACCAAAUCACAAAUAUUUCCUUGAAAUCAAUUGGGAUUGGAAUGGGAAGUUCCCAAAUAGUCUUGGAUACUCUUGACAAGAGCUUAGCACAGGUUCCUUCUCCAUCCUUUCACCUUUACAGAUAUUUAUUAUUAAUUUAGAGAACAUGGAGUUAUUUUCUUUGUUCUAUAUUUUAUUAAAUUGUAGUUUAAAAUUUCUAAAAGUAACAAGAAAUUUAUUUAGGUAUCCUUCAGAUAAACUAAUAUCAAUGCUAGGGGUUGUAUGUGUAACAUAGUGAAGUUUUAUUUGUUUAAUGUCAAUAUUUGACACAUAAAACAUCUUUUAAAAGGAUAGUUGAAUAAUUGUUGAAUCUAUACGAGUUAAUGUCCUUCAGAUGUCAAAAUAAUAAAAUUAUGUGAUUGUUGAUUUGAGUUAUAUUUUGGAUCUUCUUAUUACAAAAUACAAAAGCACUAAUUCAGCAGUAGUUUUUAAAAUGUUUAUAGUAUAUACCUACAAUCUAAGAAGAAAAUAAAGCUUCAGUCUUGCAAGAACCAGGUAACUAGAUAAUUAUUUUUACAGAUACCGAGCUUAAAUCUUUAGUAUGUGCUGUUUCUUUUCUCUCUACGUUAGUAGGAAUCCAUAACGGUAAGCUCAGUGUUUCUAUAAUAUAACCUUUGAUUAGAAAACAAAAGCUUGAAGUUGUUACAUACGUCUACUCAUAGAGAAGUGAUUUACUUGCCUGUUGUUAGAAUAGACUGUUUGUGAAAAGGAAGCAAAUUAUUAUACAUAAUUGACAACAGUACUGCUAAUGCUUUGAAGAGAAAGUAACUGACUGGAAUAAAAUGAAGGUAUUUUCUAAAAUGUUGAUUAUAGGUCAGUAGAUCAAGUUUACAAAAAAUCAUUUGCAGAGAAUGAUAAGAUCAUAAUGCAGAGAGAGAACUUGUAGACAAAUAUGUAUCUGUUACGAUCGUUGCUGUAAAAAUUGUCUUGUUAGAACUUGGAAAGCAGAAAAGAACUAUAUUGCCUGGUUUCAUUGGAUCAGUUUCCUUGUAUACAUUUUUUCUGUUUAGUACACACUAUUUUGACACUGUAAAUGACACAAAAUGUCCAAUUGCGUAGCAUAAUUAAAAAUUACAUAAAUAACUAAGCAUAUCUUCAUGAUACAGGGAUUGGCAACCAAUUCUAGCGAUUCUUUCCUUCCAGGUGACAAUUAUCCUUCAUGGUUAGCCUAUAAAUGCGAAGGACCUUCGGUACUUUUCCAAGUGCCCGAGAAUAGUAGUUCUUGCAUGAAGGGAGUAACGUUGUGUGUUGUUUAUUCAUCAACACCUCAAAAUCUGAUAAGUGAAUGUCUCACUAGUGUCUUAAUCAUUAAUUACACAAAACUCACUAUCCAGAUUUACAAGCGUGACACAAUAAUGUCCUUUAAUGAUGAAGAUUGGGAAGGUGUUGCCUCAAAUUUUGGUGUUGGUGACAAUGUGGAGGUUUUUGUAGCUAUUGGGCAUGGAUUAACUGUUAAGGAGACAGCUGUCUAUUUAGUAUAUGACCAGUCAAAUGCUAUGGAAAUUGUGCCAUCAAACAUUAUGGAAAUUGAGCCAUUACAUGAAGUGGAAAUGCAACCAUCACCUAAUGUGAAAACGGAGCCAUCAGCUGAAGAGGACGUGCAGCCAUCACUUGAUGUGAAAACGGAACCAUUACUUGUUGUCAAGAAUGAACCAAUACCGAAGACAAAUAGAAAAAUCUUCACAAGACUUGCAAAGAGACUGGGAGAAUGUUUAUGCUUGAUCCAGAAUUGAGAUCUUUGCAAAUUUUGAUUGGGCACACCGGUUGUCCUAACAUGGAAUUUCCUUGUAUGUGUUUUGUAAUAUUUUUCAGGGAGGGAGGAUUGACAAUGCUUGGGUAUUAAUGUGAUGGAAAAAAAUGCUUAAGAUUAUGAAAGAACCAGGCAAGAAUUGCAAGAAUGAAUCGUGGCAAGCUUUUAUUGACUAUUGCAUCCAUGAUUUCCGCUACCCACGUACUGAACAAUGGCUUUAUGAAAAGUUGACACGUACCUAUUCUUGCAUUUCAUUGGAAAUUCUAUCGUAACAUUUAGCAUAGCUCUAAUGUGAUUGACUGCAGGAUCUUGAUUUUCUUCUUUAUAUAGAGGUGGGUGUUUGCAGAGCCGUUGUAAGGCACACGUGUGCCCGACGGUUACAAAAUCAUGGGAAGUGUAAACGUCGGGGAGAGAAAAGAGACGUUACAAGUUCGUUUGAACUGGUCUUUGUUACAUUAGAGACUGGGAGAAUGUUUAUGCUUGAUCCAGAAUUGAGAUCUUUGCAAAUUUUGAUUGGGCACACCGGUUGUCCUAACAUGGAAUUUCCUUGUAUGUGUUUUGUAAUAUUUUUCAGGGAGGGAGGAUUGACAAUGCUUGGGUAUUAAUGUGAUGGAAAAAAAUGCUUAAGAUUAUGAAAGAACCAGGCAAGAAUUGCAAGAAUGAAUCGUGGCAAGCUUUUAUUGACUAUUGCAUCCAUGAUUUCCGCUACCCACGUACUGAACAAUGGCUUUAUGAAAAGUUGACACGUACCUAUUCUUGCAUUUCAUUGGAAAUUCUAUCGUAACAUUUAGCAUAGCUCUAAUGUGAUUGACUGCAGGAUCUUGAUUUUCUUCUUUAUAUAGAGGUGGGUGUUUGCAGAGCCGUUGUAAGGCACACGUGUGCCCGACGGUUACAAAAUCAUGGGAAGUGUAAACGUCGGGGAGAGAAAAGAGACGUUACAAGUUCGUUUGAACUGGUCUUUGUUACAUUAGAGACUGGGAGAAUGUUUAUGCUUGAUCCAGAAUUGAGAUCUUUGCAAAUUUUGAUUGGGCACACCGGUUGUCCUAACAUGGAAUUUCCUUGUAUGUGUUUUGUAAUAUUUUUCAGGGAGGGAGGAUUGACAAUGCUUGGGUAUUAAUGUGAUGGAAAAAAAUGCUUAAGAUUAUGAAAGAACCAGGCAAGAAUUGCAAGAAUGAAUCGUGGCAAGCUUUUAUUGACUAUUGCAUCCAUGAUUUCCGCUACCCACGUACUGAACAAUGGCUUUAUGAAAAGUUGACACGUACCUAUUCUUGCAUUUCAUUGGAAAUUCUAUCGUAACAUUUAGCAUAGCUCUAAUGUGAUUGACUGCAGGAUCUUGAUUUUCUUCUUUAUAUAGAGGUGGGUGUUUGCAGAGCCGUUGUAAGGCACACGUGUGCCCGACGGUUACAAAAUCAUGGGAAGUGUAAACGUCGGGGAGAGAAAAGAGACGUUACAAGUUCGUUUGAACUGGUCUUUGUUACUUUGUGCAACCCCCCCCCGUGUUGCGAGUAAACUUCCAAAUGCAGUAUUUGGGAUGAAUUUGUGAUUGGGCCUAAGAAACAGGGCCCAAGCAUUACACCAAAAGGAAAAAUAAAAACACCAAAACAUCCAUCAACAUCGAACAUGCCAAAACCCUAACAACAACUCCUCAAUUUUUCAUCACCAACAAAGUUCAAAAAGGACCCGAUAAUGAUUUGUUGCUUCAAACGUUCCGAUUUGACACCUAAGUCAAAUCGGAACUGUCGGAGGAGACACCCAAAUAGCCUAAAAGGACCUAAGUCAAAAAUCUGGCUCCCAAUCUCAGAUCAAAAGUGAUCGGCCCACCAGAUUCCCAACACAAAUCAUUAAGGCACCCUUAACUCAUGAACCACUAGAGCAGACACCUAACCUGCCUAAAAACUCGGCCCACCAUUAUCCAAAUGCCUUAUUCAAAGGCAGAGAAAAGGUGGAGCAAUAGCGAAAAUCGAAACAGCUUGAACACAAACAAACAAAACAAGCCAUGAAAUCAACCUGCAUCACCACCACUUGAACAUCACCAAAGGCAACAUCUUGACAACACCGCUCCCUACAAACAUCACCCAAAAACGCCUAGGAUCCAAACUCAAAACCCCCAUAACCACCACAAAAACCAACACUAACCGCCACGAGCACCACCACGAGCACCGUUUCAACGCCACCCUUUGAACCACCUGUAAACCACCACGAAGCACCACACCAACACCACCAAAGAUUCACAUAAACACUCGCAAACACCUAAAGCACAAUUAUCCCAAACCAACAACAAGCUACUUAUUGUACCUUCUUUCGGCGCGAAGGAGAGACACCACCAACCAUCCAAAGACUGAAUCCACCACAACUGCACGACCCUUUGCAGACCUUAAGAACGCCGCCGACCAAAAACCGACGACGUGGGGGAGGUUUGGAAAGCGCACAGAAGCUUGGACGACCAUAAAGAAAGGUACAGUAACCAAAACCAGUAUGAAGGUAACCAGAUCUAGCCACUCUCAAGGAAUGAAACACGGAUUUUGGAUCGGAAGGGAUGAAAACAGGUGGUACAAUAGAGUUGAGAGAGAGAGGUCAGAUAGGAUUUUAUCAUGUUGUAUUUCAGAAUUUAUCGCCGUGUGAAAACUAUAGAGAAAUUGAGUUAUUAAUAGACUUCACCAAUUUGGAUCCUGAGGCUCGUCGCAAACGGUGGGAGCUUUUUCUAUUAUCACCAAAACAGGUUCCAUAUAUCUCUGAGUUAAAGAAAAAUAAAUUAACAGAUAUAAAUGUUUUUAUGGAAUGUGGUUAAAUUUGUCAUGUACCUUCUAUAUGUUGUUUCGGCUUGUUAUAUUUGUGAUGAUGAGAGUUAUGACUCUUAAUGUCAAUUAAAAUUAAAACUUAACUGAUCUUUUUGGGUUGUGGUCAAUGCUCGUGCUGGAAGAAGAAAAAAUGAAAAUAAAAUUGGGAAUCGAUCACAUGUUAAUUAAAAUUAUUGCUAGUUUGCUACCAUUUACUGAUGGUUAUAUCUAGUGUUAAUGAUUGUAGUCUUUUGUUAUACUGGCUUGUUUGAAACAACCUGGACACAUCAGUUUUUGAACCUUCGAAACUUCAAGUGCACACCAACAUAACAUGAUACACAGUUUUGGUUUCACACUCGUUUGACUAUUGAGAUGUUGAUUUUUAAUCAUGAACUUUCUGAACAUUUUAGUCAUUUAAUAACCCUAUCUUAUUGUUUUGUAUUAUGAUCCAAUAUAGUGAUUGAAAUUAUCAUACCAUACAUGUGAGAAUUUUAUGAUGCAUGUUGGUCUAAUUUUCUACUACGUGCUACUGCUUGUUGUUUCAAUCUCACAUUUCUCUAGCCCAUUUUCAUGCCACUAAAGUAGUUACUUAUAAUUCUGUUAGAUAAUAUUGGUUCAAUGAGAUUUUACUAGUUUAUGGACUUAUCAUGUGGUUUUUGUUUUAGAGCAUGGUAGACACUGAUGGUUCUUUUUUUUUUUUUUUUGGUCAAGACACUGAUGGUUCUUAUUUGUGUGAAUCAAAUUAACUUUCUCCAUUUGAAUAGUUACGUGUUGUUUAUCAAUGCUUGUUGUGUCCAUAAAGAAAACAAUAGCAUAAUUUCAUCUCUAGCAUGAUAUGUGUAUGUAUGAAUUUUGUGGAAAUUUUGGAGUCAAUGACCUUUAUAUUAAUACUUUUGUCUUGAGUUUGGAAUAGUGAUCAGAAUAUAGACAUCAGAUAAAAUUGGUUUGGUUUGUCAAAAUGAAAGUAUAUAAUCAUUGUGUUUGACAAGAUGGAAAUUUUAUCAAGAAUUUUGCUAAAUGUUUUUAUGUAUGUUCUGUUUGUGUAAGGUAUUUGUGGAAAUGAAGAUUCAAAUACUCAUAUAUUUCGUGUAAUAAGAUUUUAUAGUAUUAAAUGAGUUUUAUAGUGUACUCAUGAUAUAUUGACAUGAUAGAGCAAUGCUCUUGAUAAGUGGAUUUGUUGAUGUCACAAUUUGCAUGAUCUAUUGAAUGAAUUUGUAGUAUAAAUAAUUUUGUGAUUGUUUUUAACUCAUGAAAUAUUAAAUGAUAUAUUCUGGAUUAUCCAUUGUAUUAUAAUAAUAGAAUAAUACAAUGAUGUUUAAUGAAAUUAACUUUAAUUUAUAUUACCAAUUGUGGGGGUAUUGUCACUUGACAAUCAUACAAGCAUACUUGGAUAAUCAAAUUAUCAAUAGAUUUACGAUUAUGUGUGUUGAUAUUGUUGUCACUUGAAAAUCAUUCAAGUAGACCAGAAUAGAAAUCUACCUAUUGACACAAUGUGGGGUAUUGUUGCUUGAAAGUUUUUCAAGUAGACGUGUAUAAUAAAACUAAUCAUAAAUUUAUUUUCCCCCUUUGUGAUGAUGUUGUCACUUAGUAUUUAUCUAAGUGGACAUGAUGAAAUAUAUUAUGUAAAUUAGUUUCAUAAUAUAUGAGAUAUUGUUUACAGAAUGGAUAAAUCUUUGUAUUUGUAUUAAAAUAAUACAAAGAUGUUAAAUAGAUAUGAAUCCAAUGAGAAUAAAUCAAUAAGUAGAUUUAUCUUAUUGAUGAAUAUGUUGUCGCUUAGUAGACAACUAAGCAUACCCUUAUGAAUUUAUUAUGAAGAGCAAGUUUAUAAUUGUUAACUUGGUAAAUAUGAUAUUAAUUGACUUAGAGACGUCUUAGUUAAUCUUCUUUGAUGAAAGAAAUUUUUGUCUUCAUCAAUGUGUGUAAAGUACGUACUAAUAAAGCCCCUGGGAUGAAAUAAAUUUGUGAGCAUCGAGGGGAUUGAGACUUAAGCCAAUCGAAAUUGAUAUGUCAUAGGAACCCAACCUUUGUGAUUGGAGAUCCCAUGAAGAAGGUUCAAUGUGGUAAGAACAAGUCACAUGUUAGUUCUGCUAUCGCUAAAUUUAAUCCUAGUCUCUUUCCUAUGGUGUAUUUGAGUAAGUGCUAGACACAUCAAUAUUGAGAGGAUAAGUUAUAAUGCUUUCAACGAUUAUCAUAUCCCUUAUGGGUGGUGUAUGACUUGCAGCAUACACUUGAUGAAAUCGCCUAUAUGAGUGUCAAGUGGGGCCGCUUGCAUGAGAUCUUGGCAAAAUCUCUAGAGCACUCAUGAAUACCAGGCACGCGCAUGGCCUAUUCGCGCACAACCGCGUAACAGCAAGAAUUGUGGGGGUGUAAUGUGAUUGUGAGACCUCUAACAUACAACAAGUGUCUUGGGUUCCAUAGCUUGCUAAACCAAUUCACCGUGUGUUAAGUUUUAUUAGUCUAAGACGGGUUCCAUAGCUUGGUAUACCGUUCUGAUGCCUUACAUCUAUGAUGUUCACCCAAAAAAACCUCUUUUUAACUUUUUAUUUUAACUUUUGAAAUAUGUGGGGGAUUGUUGUAUAUUUUUAAUUAUUAUAUUUCAAAAGUUAAAUAUAACCAAGUCUCUCCAAAAUAUUGUUCUUCACGUUUUUAUCAUUUCCAAAUUAGCUACUCAGUUAAAAGUCUUGCAUAUACUUCUCAACUAAAAUGGUUUUAUCAUAUGGCUAUUUUUAUGGAAUAUGUGGCACUAAUUUUAUGCCUUUGACUUUGUCCACAACAUGUGGUUAAUUAACUUUGUUUCACUCACAUAACAAAAGCCAUAUUAUCUUAUUGACGUAUAUAACGUACGUAGCAUACUUGCUACAAAUAUAAUGAACCUGCACAUAGCAUUCAUGAAUAUAUUGAAUCCUUGGAGGAUAUGCGCUAAUGAGGUGGAUAAAAUACUCAAUAACAGUGAUUAUGUCACGCCUCAUGUUACAGUGUGUUGAUUUGCAGGUUUCUUCUAAGUUGAUUUAUGAAGAUUUUGAUGGAGCUGUGUCUACAACCAAAUUCGAUAAGUUUCUCUUCUUCUCUAAUUUAAUUUUAGUUGUAACUGUUUGCUAUUAUUACUUGAGAUGAUUCUAUGUAAUUAUAUUACAACAAACAGGUGGUACAAUAGAGUUGAAAGAGAGGUCAGAUAGGCAGCGGAAACCCACCACCACCGUGAACAAAGAGAAAGAUCUGGACGCGGAAGAGCAUCUAGCUCGCCGGCGGCCACUUGAAACCACCCGUGAAUAGUGAAUCCGACCAACCCGAAACACACAAGCGGCGGCGCACCUCUCGGGUUUUGGAAAUCUUACUACUUAAAAAAAGCGACAGAAGCAACCCCACCAACCUCCAAUCUUCCGGCGAGGCCAAGGCGCACACAUGAAUCUGAGCAACAAACCCACAAAAUCGAAACCAGUGAGUACGAAGACCGAAACAUGCAACACCCAAACCGGAUUUGGUGACGAUGAACGACGAAACAAAACCAGAGUGUCAAAGGAUGGAGGAAGCAGCGGUGGUGCGGAGAGCAGCUCUCGUCGCACCACCAGUCACUAGAUCUACAUCGUGGUGGCUGGUUUGAAAAGGGGGGAGGAGGAAGGGAAAAGUGGUGAUGGUGUGGAGUGUUUUGUUUAGCGAGAAGUCAGAGGAAAAGUUUAAAGAAAAUGAAAAAGAGAAUUGCUGGUUUGGCUAUGCCACACGAGUAAAUUACUCAAAUGCCUCUCGUCAGUUAACUGCCGAGGAAAACUUCGGUCUGAAAACUUCGGCAGUUAGCUGCCGAGGAAACCUCAAAUUUUUUGUUUUUUGUUUUUUUUUAUUCUUUGAGAAUAUUCCGCGGUCUUUAUCAUUUUUGAUUGAUUUUUCUUAAUAAUUCGUUUUUAAUUUUAUUGAUUUGCCUUCCUUAUUUAUUUUAAUUGUAUUACUCCUUUCAAUUUUUUUUUUUUUUGUUAUAACUGCUUUGAUCUUCAACAAUAGUGAAUAUUUUAUUUCCAAAGAACUUUCACGGAAUUUUCUUCUUUUAUUUCCUUUUUACGGAAAUAUUCACAAUUAUUUUAAUUGUAUUACUCAUUUGAUCUUCUUCUUUUUUUGCCUAUUUUAUUUCCAAAGAACUUUCACGAAAUUUUCUUCUUUUAUUUCCUUUUUCUUUGUUUUAGGCUUAACAUUUAAGUCCUCAAAAAACAUUUCAAUAAGUGUAAAAAUUAAGUAUUUGAAUAUUGUUUUGCAAAUUACUUAAAUAAAAAAAAAAUCUUUGUACACAAUUAUUUUAAUGUAGAAAAUAUAACAACAUAUUAUACCUUAAAAAAAAUCGUUGUGCACAAUUAUUUGUAUUUAAGUAAUGUGCAAAACAAUAUUCAAAUGCUUAAUUUUUACACUGAUUUAAAUGUUAUUCUUAUUAAGAUAUAUACACAUAAGUAUAAUACUGCAAUUGUUUAAAACGUACCAAAAUAAUGAUUGAAACAUUCAAAAUCAAUAAAUAUUAUUAAAGACAAUUUAUGGAUUUUGUCAAAAAAAAAAGGUUUGUUAUUAAUGACAAUUUAUGGAUUUUGUCAAAAAAAAAAAAAAAGGUUUGAGGUUUCCUCGGCAGUUAACUGCUGAAGUUUUCAGUUUUCCUCGGUAGUUAACUGCCGAAGUUUUCCUCGGCAAUUAACUGCCGAGGGGUAUUUGAGUAAUUUACUCGUGUGGCACAGCCAAACCAAAAGUGGGAACAACAAUUCUCAAUGAAAAAUAGGACAUCUCCCCCUUUAGGGUUAUUUUAUUUAGGGUUAAUUAUGUUUUCGGUCUCUACAAAAUUGCGAUCUUGUAAGUUUACUCCUUAUUUAAUUUUAAUAGUGUUCUAAACUUGUAUAAAAAGAAUCUUUCAAAAAUUUAAGAGUUUAAGGAUAAUUAAGCAAAAUUUAUUUUAGCAGGGACUAAAAUUAUAAGUAAAUUUUUUUUUUGUAGGAAUUAAAAAAACUAUUAAAAUUAAGUAAGGACUAAACUUAUAAGGUCGCAAUUUUAUAGGGAUCAAAAACAUAUUUAACCCUUUUAUUUAUUUGCUGCAAUUGUCAUUUGUAAAUAGCAAAAUGAAUUGAAGAAUGAAACUGAGUGUAACCACUCCUAUAGAAUAUACUUUUUACUCAGAUUAGGAGGUUGAUUUUUGCAUCUAAUUGAAACUACAUCUCUAAACGUGAUGUUGUAUAGACUGAACAUAAAGGAUGGCAAUAACUUGAUUUGAAUGUAGUUAUGUUGGUUAUUACAACUGAAAUUGUUUCAUUAUUUUUUACAAAAGAAAUUAUUUCCUUUUUGCUUUUUUUAAUUUAAAUAGAUAAACAAAUUGAUCUAUCACUCACCCUUCCAUUAGAACAUUAGUGCAAGGAUAGAGCUUAGAUGUCCCUUUUCUAAUAUUUUCCAACUCAUUAAAAAUGUGAAUAAUUCUACACCAAAAAUUCAUAGAAUAGUUAAGAGACCCACUAAAAUAAUCUACCCCUCCACAACCAGAACAAAGAAAAAAUUAAAUUUUUUUAUGGCUUAAAUAUGGAAAUGGUCCCUGCAAAUAUCUGGCGUUUUGGUUUUAGUCCCUAUAAAAAUAUUUUUUUGAUUUUAGUCCCUGCAAAUAUAGAAUAUUUGGUUUUGGUCAUUGGUAUUUUGUUUUAAUCUUGUAAAAUCAUUUCAUAUUAAAAUCGGUCCUUAUAAUAUUCAUUUUAGUCCUCAUUUUGAGGGACUAAAAUCAAAUAUUCUACAUAUUAUAAGGACCAAAUCCAAUAUGAAUCAAUUUUACAAGGACUACAACAAAAUACCAAGGACCAAAACCAAAUUUUUUAGAUUUACAGGGACUAAAACCAAAAUGUCAGAUAUUUGCAGGGACUAUUUUCAUAUUUAAUCCAUUUUUUAUAAUACAAAAAAUACAUGUAUUAAGUGACUGAUCCAGCCUAUAUUUUCUAUUCAACCUAAGUUUCCUUUAAAGAAAAAAUUAUACUUUCACAACUCUCUAGUGCCUAGCAGCUUGAAGAACUGGAGGUUGAUGAGAAUUAUUGUUGGAUCUUUUGGUUUUGACCUGAAUUGCUUCAAUAACUUCCAAUGACUCAAGUACUUCUUUCAUAGAAGGACGUUGUUUAGGGUCAUUUUCUAAGCACUUUAGAGAAAGUGCUGCUGCUUGUACUGCUGCCUUUGGUGAGUAUUGUCCUUCUAUUCUACCAUCCAUUAUGCCUUUCAAUUUUUUCUUAUUGGACAGAAAAGGUUUCACCCAUUCAACUAGGUUUUGUUGUCCUGUUGGCCUCUUUGUGUCCAAUGCCCUCAUAACUGUUAGGAUUUCUAACAGCACCACACCAAAGCCAUACACAUCACUCUUCACAUACAAGUGCCCUGUUGAAUUGUAAUGCAGUUCAUACAACAUGUUAGUUUUUUUGCUCAAUAAUAGAUUUAUAAUAAACUUCACUGACACUUUUGGUAGAAGCCUUGAAAGUGUGUAUGGUGUCUGACAUGUAUGACACUAACACAUUUAGUUACCUUCGGCCACUUUCAUUUUGUUAAAUUAUAAUCACUGUGUACGUGACAUACUAUCGGUGUCGUGUCUGGGUCAAUACUUUAUAGUUAGCAUUGUCUUAGAAUUUAGGUCAGGACUAACUCAACCCUAAAAAUAAGUGAGGAUUGUUCAAGCCUAUUGAGACUAAUUAGGUCAUAUCUCUAACGUGGGAUCUCAACAAUUUUCAAUCUCCACAAACCAUUGAGAAAAGAAAACAAAGUGACAUUUGUAUAUUGAUCAGUGACAUUUAUUAUACUACUUCCAUUUUCUUCUUACUUAGUAUAUCAAUUCAAUCUUGGCUCACAUUAAACAGUGUCAGUCACUAAUAAAGCCAAAAUAUAAACUUAACGGUGGUUCAAUUGCAAUUUUAGUGGAUAUAUAUGAUUACCUGUUGCAAUGUAUUCUGGAGCAGCAUAACCAUAUGUGCCCAUCAACCUGGGAGUUACAUGUGAUUGUCCCCCAGAAGGCCCCAAUUUAUCUAAUCCAAAAUCUGAGAUUUUUGCAUUGUAACUCUGCAGGAUACAAGAUGGGUUCUCAAAAUGAUCUUUGGAAUUUCACAUUGAGAAAUAUCAAAUUUGUUAAUUCAAAACAUCAUAUAGUUCUAGGGGAUGUAAGGUUGACUUGGUGGCAGAAAUUGGAAAGUUAAGUAGUUGAGUGAUAAGGGUUGUCUCAAAUUCUACUCACCUUCAACAAAUAUUAACAAUUUAACAUACUAAUGUUGGUUGUUUAAAAAAAAAAACAUCAAAUAGUUUUGCUUGGAUAAACAUUUUAAUUAAGCGUUUAUAGCAUUAGCACUUAUCACAUUGGUUUCUACGUAUAAAUUAUGACAAGAUAAAAUGAAGUUAAACUAUUUUCAUGUAAACUAUAAGCUAGUUUUAUAAACUAUUCUGCAGAACUUAUUUUUGGUAUUAACUCUCCGGUUAGAAGAAAGGGUCCCCGGUAAUCCGAAGUCUACCAAACUUAUGAAAAUAAUUUGUAUGGUAAAAAAUAACUGACCCCAUCAAGGAGUAUAUUUGAAGGCUUAAAAUCUCUGUACAUGGCUUGCUGUUCUGAAUCAUGCAAGAAUGACAAACCACGAGCUGCACCAAUAGCAAUUUUGAUUCUUGUGUUCCAAGAAAGUGGUUCAAUAUUGUUAGGAUUUCCUGAAAAGAACACAACAGAUAAACCAAAUUAUAUUCAAAACCAAGACCAGAAAAAUUCUCAUUUUACUUCAUUGUCUUUAGUACGACAUUACAUACUUCUGAAGAGAUGAUUCUCCAAACUUCCAUUCGGUAUGAACUCAUACACAAGAAGAAGCUCGUCCUCAUCCCAACAGUAACCUAAUAGUUUCACCAAGUUUGGGUGAGAGAGCCUUCCUAAGUUAACUUCUGACUGUAUUGUUCAAUCAACACAAAAACAUAUAUUACUAAAUAAGAAUUCAUCAGAUGAGGGCAUUUGUUUCAUGGUUUAAACAAUUAUUCUUGAGAAUAACUUUUUCAAAAAAAAUAAUGAUACAAAUCUUAAUCAAUCAUAAUUGUCAGAUCAUUACAAAUGUUUAACUUCAAUCAUAAUUACUUCGAAAGUCACACAUAUGAUCGGUUGUGACUUGUGAGUCGUUAAUGGUAUAAAACUUUUUACACCGUCAAAAUUAAUUUGUUUAGUUACUACUUGUAACAUAUUUGGAAAACAUUUGUAAGAUUGACAUAUCUUAAUCUUAAUAAUAUACAAACAUGAAGCAACAAAUAGCAAAAAAUCAAAAACCAAUCCAAUGUGUCAAUUUCUUAAGCAUCCAAUGCCAAAUCAUCAAUUCUUGAAAGCUCAUUUUAUCAUCUAAAACAGUAAGUAGGAGCAGAAAAACAUGUAAUCCAUACUUUUUAACAAUUUUUAAAUUAUCAAAUUUCAAUUUAUGGAACAAAAUUUAAAACAAGUUGAUUUCCCUCCAAGAAAGGUUGGUAUCGGGCCUUUUUUUAGCAAAACAACAAAAAUUCAAUUUCAAAUUUGGCCCUUUUACUACCUGGCUCAGCUCUGGCACCCAACCCGUGUCAGCUUUUAUCACUUUCAUUAAAUGCAUCUUCUUAUCCUCUUAUCCUCUUAUUAUAUAUUAAAGUUAACCCGUAAGUCCUAAUUUUAACCUAAAACAUAUUGCAUAAUUUUACAGUUUUAACCCUAAUGCUCACACCUAAUCUCCUAUUUUCAUGAACAACCCUAAUGCUCAAACAUAAUCUUCUUAUCUUCUUAUAUAUUAAAGUUAACCUGUAAGCUCUAAAUUUAACCUAAACUCUAUUGCAUAAUUUUACUGUUUUAACUCUAAUGUUCACACAUAAUCUCCUAUUUUCGUGAACAACCCUAAUGCUCACACAUAAUCUUCUUAUCUUCUUAUCUUCUUAUAUAUUAAAGUUAACCCGUAAGCCCUAAUUUUAACCUAAACCCUAUUGCAUAAUUUUACUGUUUUAACCUUAAUGUUCACACCUAAUCUUCUUAUAUAUUAAAGUUAACCCGUAAGACCUAAUUUUAACCUAAACCCUAUUGCAUAAUUUCACCGUUUUAACCUUAAUGUUCACACCUAAUCUCAUAUUUUCAUGAACAACCCUAAUGCUCACACCUAAUCUUCUUAUCUUCUUAUAUAUUAAAGUUAACCCGUAAGCCCUAAUUUUAACCUAAACACUAUUGCAUAAUUUUACUGUUUUAACCCUAAUGUUCACACCUAAUCUCCUAUUUUCAUGAACAACCCUAAUGCUCACACCUAAUCUUCUUAUAUAUUAAAGUUAACCUGUAAGCCCUAAUUUUAACCUAAACCAUAUUGCAUAAUUUUACUGUUUUAACCCUAAUGUUCACACCUAAUCUCCUAUUUUCAUGAACAAUCCUAAUGCUCACACCUAAUCUUCUUAUAUAUUAAAGUUAACCUGUAAGCCCUAAUUUUAACCUAAACCAUAUUGCAUAAUUUUACUGUUUUAACCCUAAUGUUCACACCUAAUCUCCUAUUUUCAUGAACAACCCUAAUGCUCACACCUAAUCUUCUUAUAUAUUAAAGUUAACCCGUAAACCCUAAUUUUAAAGGUUGGAUUGUAUCUACCUUCCUAUGUUUACACAUGGCCAGUUGUAUGUUGCUGUAUCAAGGGUAACUACCAAGCAAGGGUUGAAAAUGCUAAUUUUGGAUGAAUAUGGGAUCCCAUGCAACUCUACUGUCAAUGUUGUUUUUCCGGAGGUUUUUGAAAAUCUGUAGGAAUUAGCAUAUCAGGUUUGACUUCAAAUAUUGUUAAGAAUUAGCAUGUUUGACUUCAAAUAUUUUUAAGUUGGCUUAAUUGCACUUUUGGACCCCUAUCUUUCUAAAAGUUGCGGUUAUAGACCCCUAACUAAUUUAAAUACAAAAUAGCCCCCUAUGUUUUGAUUCUUUGACAGUUUUGGACCCCAAUUCAUUUUUUGACUUUCGUUGCUGACGUGGCACCCACAUUCCAUUAGUGACGUGCCACGUGUAUUAUUAUUUUUUUCUUUCUUUUUUAAAUUCAUCCUGUUAUUUUUAAAUUGAAAAAAUAAAUUUAAAAAAAAGGAAAAGGAAAAUAGAAAGUCAAGCAGUCACAUGAGUUAGAAACAAAACUUAGAAACUUAGGUUUUGUUAAUUUCGGACCCCUUUGUUUCAUCUUCUCACCAUCUUCUCCAUUGUUCUCUUUUCUCCAUUGUUCUCCAUCUCUCUUCUUCUCCAUUGUUCUCUUUUUCUCCAUUUCCAGAAAACGAUCGAUUGUUUGAGUUCGGUCGAUUGUUUGAGUUCCUAAUUUCGGUUAUCAGGUACGUAAUUCGAGUUCCGGAUCUAGGGUUUGUGUUACUAUUUUUGGAGAAGAUGAAGUGGGUGGAUAAAGGCUUGAAUGGAAAGGACACUGGUGAAAGCUCUGGUCCUCGACAAGAGAAGAAGAUUCCCGACAAGAAUACCUUAAAGUAAGAUUCGUUUUUGUCUUUGCUUGAAUAUAGGGUUCUCUUUUUUGGUUGUUGUGUGAUGUCUGCUGCAUAUAAUAUUGUAACUGGGGUCGUCUUUUUUGGUUGUUGUGUUAUGUGAUAAAUGUAGCUUGAAUUUAGGGUAGAAAUACUUUGUACAUAUGCUUUGUAUAAGUUGUUGUACAUGAUACUGUAUUAAUACUCUUGUUAUGUAGAAAUACUUUAUACUUUGUACACAUACUUUGUAGAAAUACUCUAUUUUUUUUUUUAUUUUUUUUCAAUUUAAAAAUAACAGGAUGAAUUUAAAAAAGAAAGAAAAAAAAUUAAUACACGUGGCACCUCACUAAUGGGAUGUGGGUGCCACGUCAACAACGACAAGUCAAAAAACAGACUGGGAGUCCAAAACUGCCAAAGAAUCAAAACAUAGGGGGCUGUUUUGUAUUUAAAUUAGUUAGGGGUCCAUAACCGCAACUUUUAAAAAGAUAGAGGUCCAAAAGUGCAAUUAAGCCUUUUAAGUUUCAUGUUACCUUUUUAUUAUACAACAUACAUUUAUAAAAUGAAAAAAUCUUUGCUGGUUUAUGUAGUUUACUCUUCGAGCGGUAUACCAUUGAUGCGCCGUUGUGGAUGGAAGUUUUUUGGUAGAUUGUUGGUGUUUCCAAGAGUUGGAAAGUGUUUGCUGUUACUUUUAAUAUAUGUAGUUAUUUGAACAUAUAUGUUCAUGGUUAUGUAAUUUCUUUAAAUUAUUUCGAACUCUCUCUCAAAGGUUGGGAUAUUUGUUUUCAUUAUGAAAUUAUAAUAUUAUUUAUCUAACAAUCCCAUUAAGUGUUUAUUUUGGUUGUAAUUUUAAUCGACUUACCUUUUGGCAAUGCCUGCCACUAUAAAACUUUUUCGCCCGUGCAACGCAAUAUGAAAAAAAUGAAAAAAAUAAAAAUACAUUAUAGCAUGUUAUUGAUAUACAAGUUCAUAUGAAUUUUGCAUUUUACAUUAAAGUUUUAUAUAAUUUAUGGCUCACAUGUGCCCAAAGCAAACAUUGUUAUCGCUCGCUACUUUCCACAAGAAAUUUUGUAAGUUAGGGUACUUUCCCACGUGUAUAUUAAUUAUAACUUCAAAUAUAGUCCACUUUGCCAAAUGUGAAUGCAAUGUACGAUAAAUGUACAUUAUACUCAUUCAAACAUAGACACAAGGAAAAUAAUAUUGUUUUCCCUUAUUCAAAGAUAAAGUUAAGGAGAGUUAUCACAAGUCACACAACAGCCAAAAUGGAUCAAAGACGUUGGAAGUGCAAAGUGCAAUGGGGGACUGGGUUUCCGUGGGCUCGGCAAUUUCAAUAAGGCGUUCCUAGGCAAGCAGAGUUGGAGGCUUAUGUCUGAUGCUAACUCCUUGAUGAGCCGUAUUUUCAAAAGUAGGUACUAUCCCUGGUGUAACGUCUUGGAGGCAACCAUAGGAUACCAACCAAGCUAUGCUUGGAGGAGCAUCAUGUGUGGCAGAGAAGUACUAGAAAAGGGCACCAGAUGGGUGGUGGGUAAUACAAAGUAUCAAAAUUUGGCAUGACAACUGGCUCCCUGACCAAACAAAUUUCAAAGUUCAUGGCCCGGUGCAAAAUCUCCCCUCAACAACCAUUGUUAGGGAUCUUAUUGAUUUAGAUACAAAGAAAUGGAAGAGAGACCUCAUUGCGUCAUGGUUCAACCAGUUUGAGGCUUCCCAAAUCACAAAAAUCCAACUAUCCUUUAGACUCCCAGAUGACAGAAUCAUUUGGCAUUAGGAGAAAGAUGGAAUCUACUAUGUGAAGACAGCAUACCACCUACUAAUCGAGGAGAAUAUGAGACAGGUUCCGAGCUCAUCAUCUUUGUUGAAUAGAAAACUCUGGAAAGCAAUAUGGAAAGCCCCGAUGCCGAAAAAAAUUCCAAAACUUCCUAUGGAGAAUAGUCAAGAAUAUCCUGCCUGUUCGUGUCAAUUUAAGAAAAAAAGGAAUCAAUUUGGCCUUGAAAUGCCCAAUCCGUCACCUACAUGGUUUUGCAGUUCUAUGGGAAUUCACAUUCCCCCAUCUAUGAACCUUGGUGAUUGGUUGUUACAUUGGCUUUCUUGUGGUAAUGUCUUUACCUCACAACUCUUCUGUUCAUUGCUUUGGAAAGUUUGGGAUGCAAGGAAUAAGCUUAUUUUCUAGGAUCAGAAAUUCAUACCAGCAGUUAUUGCCAACAAUUCUACAAAAUUCAUUUGUGACUUCGAUGAAGCCAAUCGCAGACCUGUGCCUCAAUAUGUUCCAAUUCCAGGUGCCGCGAACUGGUUUCCUCCUCAAAAUAACUGGACAAAAUUGAAUGUAGAUGCAGGUUGUUUUAAUGAUGGAUUUACCGGUUGGGGACUAGUCAUAAGAGAUCAUACGGGUGUAACAGCCCGAUUUUUCAUUAGAUUUAUUUUAAUUGUUUUAUUAUGUGAUUAUAUGUGCUUGUGUGUGAUUAAUUAUCAUUGGGUGCAUUUUCAUGGGUUUUCGUAUUAGAAUGGUAAUUUAGUCAUUUUGAACUCAAGGGUAUUUUGGUCAUUUUAGGGUAAAAGUAAUUUAGUAACUUUUGGCGAGGAAUAUUUUUUGUGUCUUAGUGAAGACCGCUAUUAUACUAAGUUACUAGCAUAAUAAUUAGUCGUUGGUAUUUUACCGUUAAGUGACCGUUAGUAGUAUUUUACCGUUUGGAGUGUAGAAACAUUUUGGAAUUGAGUUGAGUGAAUUAAGUCCACUAGAGAAUUGGGUUAGGCCCAUCAGAGGGUUAUACUACAAAACACUUGUCUUAAAGAAAAACCUCAUUCAUUUCAUUUCAUAGAUAUUUUGAAAGAGGUAGAGAGAGAAAGUGGGAGAAGAGAAAAACAAGGGUUAGAGAGAAGAAGAACUUGAGGAUUCAAAGAUUUGAAGAAUCAUAGGAGCAAAAGUGAAGCUUAAGCUAGUGAAUUAAUCUAACUAAGGUAAGGGGGUUAGUUUUCAUCAUAAUCAUUUUUAGUGCAAAUUUUCAAUUGUUGUAUGAAUAAUUGCUUAAUUGAGUAAUUGAUUAAUUGUUCAUGAUUGUUAGAAUUCGUGCUCUAAUUACGAUGUUCUGUUUGUAUGUAAGAAAUUGGUGAUAAUUGGUUGUUGUGGGUAAAAUUGAAUGCAUCAAAGUGUAUGAAGAUGAUAUAUGUCAUAUUAUGCUCUAAAUGUCAAUGGGUGUUAUGUUGUUGUUGAAUUAUGUUGUUAUCCAUGUUCAAUUGAUGUUGUUGUUGCUAAAUGAUAUUGUUGUUGAUGAUUCAUAGCUUGGGUGCACAUGAUUCAUGAUUUGUUGGUGAAAAAUGAGUUGUUGUUGGUGACUUUGUAAAAUUGGUGAAUUGGUCCAAAUGUUAUUUGUUUUUUAAGUUUGUUGUAUCUUUGUGAAUCAAAUUUAUUGUAUUGACCUAUAAACAACCUCUGGAAACACAUUUGGGCAUUGGGGGAUCAAAAUUGGGGAUUUUGGGUGAAAAGGGGUUGAAACCCGUAACAUUUUUGAACCUAUGAAGGUUCGCUUAAGCGAACGCCAAGCGAACGCGCAAGCGAACCAGCAUAGGCAGUUCUGGGUUCAUCUCUCGCGCGCGAGCCAGGAGCGAGUGCCAAGCGAAAUUUGGCAGUAGCUUCUGGAACAAUUUCGCGCAAGCGAAAUGGGCCUUCGCGCAAGCGAAAUUGCUUAGUUUCAGCCACUUUGAUUUUUGGUUCCGGGUCUUAGGGGGCUAAUCCGAGCUUUGUAAAAUGAUUCUAUCAACUUAUUUAACAUCUGUUUGAACCCCUAAUCCUACUGGAACAUGAUUUGCUCAUUCAAAAUUGGAAUUCUUUAAUUUGGUUUGAAACUUGGAAUUUUGGGAAAUGUCGGAUUUUGUCGAAACGAAUUUUUGCAAACUAUGUGAGGUUACAAGUUGAGCAUACAACUCAUGUAGACUUAGGUAAAACUUGUAAGGUUGGUCAAACAUCUUAAGCAUGUCAAAUGUGAUAUUUCGGAUGGGAUGUGGAAAAUGUGAUUUUGGGUUUUCUUAUACGAACUUAAGUUAUUCUUUGGACUAAUCUUUAAUAGUAUACAAGUGGCUUAAGCUCAUGACUACAUGAUUGAUUAAGAUUGGUUGAGAGCUUUCAACUUGUCUAUGUUGCUUUUCGUGGAAAAUUAUCAAUGUUGGCCGUUUACCACUUGAUACGGCUUAUCGGAAAUGAGUCUUCAAAAUGAAAUAUCUUGUGACCUUUGUGACCAGUUUUACAUAACUACUUGAAGUUGUAUGAAUGAGUUAUGAUAUGAAUGAUAUGAUAUUUAUCAUGAGAUGUUGAAUUAUGUUAAUGAUUUUUUAUGCUUAUGGUGAUAAUGUGAUGUUGACUCUUAUUUGUUUUGUGACCGGAAUGUUGUAUGGACGUAAUUUCUUGAUAAUGCAAAUGUUGCGGAGAUAAUCAAUAUAUUUGGAAGUUGUCCUUUAUAUUGUUGUGAAAUUUGGAGGUGAUUGCAUUGUUGAGUCCUUACUUGUAUGUCCAUGCAUCAUAGUCAUGUUGAGUCUUGUAGUUGUAAAAAGGUUGAGCUCUUUUACUUCGGAGAUUAUGUAAGACGGGCGUGAAAUCUUACAUACGAUAUUUUUGUUGCAUCGAAGGUGACGACCUUAAGGUGAUUUGGUACCACAUGCAUCUAGAAGAGUCUAGAACAUUGCAUGCAUUUGAAUAAUUGAUGAGUCGUGUCAUAAUUGAAUAUGUGACUUGGUUAUUUGUGCAUUGGUGAAAUUCGUUGAAUGUUGUGAUUAUGUGAAUUGAUGUAUAUGCACAUUGGUAGACUUUGUUGAUGGUUGAGAAUAAUUGAGCUAUGCUCUAAAUAUAUGUAUUACUUGUUUUUGCUUACAUACUUGGUGAAUCAAUUGAUGAUAAUUGUUUAGAUGAUAAUGAUGAGGUGAGAAUUGCAUAUGUAUGUAUAUGACUUAGAUAUUCCUUUGAUGAUGAUGAUUGCUGGCUUAUAACUUUAAUAUGAUAAUUGUAUUUGUUGAGUUAAGUAUGCUAAAUGAAGAUUAAUGUGAGUAAUCCUUCUUGUUUGUUGUUGAUGAAUGUUUAAUGUGAGAUAUUGGAAUUAUGGUAUGAAUACGUAUAUGGAUAUCAUUACUCUUGUCUGAGCAUGUGAUAUUUGAAUUGAAUUAUUCAUGUUUAACGUUUAUGUGGAUUAUGAUGAUGUAAUACUUACCCUCAGUGGAUCUGUGAUGGAUUUGUUUGUAUGGAUUGGGUAGACGCUGUGCAGGAUUAGUUGCUCUGGUGAGUUGGUUGAUGCUUGGUUGGAUAUCGGGAGCUAUCUCCGGUAUCGGUGUUUGUAGAGUCUAGGCUGGCUCUGAUUUAGGUGUCUGUUAGACUUCCUAGAUUUAUUUGUUUGGAUUAUUUAUUCAUGUUGGAGAUUUACCCAUUGUUGGAAUUUGGAGAUUAUUUGGUUGAUGUAUUCUUGAUAUCAUAGCAUGUAUGUUUUGAAUUAUAAGGGUUGUAUCCGCUGCGAUUAUUGAUGAGUUUAUACAUGCAUGUUGUUUUGGAUUUUUGGAUUGAUGACGUGACGUCUAUUUCUUGAAUAAAUGUAUUAUUCGCAUGUUUAUGCUNNUAAUAGAAAUAGGGCGUUACAUUGUCACUCUGACUGCGUGCAAAAGAGAAGAAGUGGAGUUGAGUCUUAUGUUGGCAAAGGCACUUGGUUUGAGAUGGUGUCUCUUAGUUGCAAAAGACUUGCCUUUAAACAAGGUGGUGGUGGAGUCCGAUGAUGCUACUGUUGUGGAUUGUAUCAAUGGCAAGGCUAUAAUGGCUGCAAUUGAUCCAAUUAUCCAAGAUUGCUCUAUUUUAAAUUUGUUUGAGGAUAUUAUUGUUACUGCUAUUAGUAGAAAUCAAAACUCUGAUGCUCGAGAGUUAGUUCAAAUGUCCACAGUAGUUGGCUCUAAAAAUUGGGUGGUCACUUUCCCACACCAAAUUUCUCACUUGCUCUGUAAUGAUUCUGUUUCUACUGUUAUCUAAUUUAAGUAUUUGAACUUGAAAAAAAAAAGUUAAAGUCAAGGAGAGUCAUCACAAGUCACACAACAGCCAAAAUAGAUCAAAGAUUUUGAAAGUGAAAGGUAAACACCCGUUUUGAAUAAUCUAUAUCUUGCGUCAAGAAUUCAAUAGUUUGGAAACUAAAGGCAACAAUGUAUUUUCAAUAUUUUAAUAAUCCUUGACUCAAGAAGGAUGGAAGAAGGACAUACAAUUUCCUGUGCAUUCCUAUUCCAAUUUCAUGACCAUCUUCCAAACUCUUGAUUUUUAAUUUAGCAAAAAAUACUCAAUAUGGCAACAUCAUGUUCAUUUUGUUAAGAGUCCUACAUCAGAUAGGUGAUGGUCUGACAAUGUGUUUAUAAGUAAGGGUAAUUCUCACCUCAAAAGUCGGUUUUGUAGGGUUGUGUUAGGCCCAACCAGAUUUCUAAGAUGGUAUCAGAGCCUCUCCGAGAUCCAUUGGGCCACCUGCUAUCAGGUUUCCGCUAUCGGACCACCCACCAUUUAUGUCCACGAACCAAGCUCAAUAGUGCUGAUUGUGAGGGGGUGUUAAGAGUCCCACAUCAGAUAGGUGAUGGCCUGACAAUGUGUUUGUAAGUGGAGACAAUCCUCACCUCACAAGUCAGUUUGGUGGGAUUGUGUUAGGCCCGAUCACAAUUUUUAAGACGUUCAGCCAUAUUAAUUAAUGACAACCCUAUAAAUCAUUAAUAAUCAAUACUAAUUCAAAUUCAAUUUGAAGUGAAAACACAAUCUUAAACAUCAUUUUUUUAACCGAACACUCUUCAACGUUUUCAACCACAAAUAAAAAGAACAAAAUAAAUAAGAGUGGAAUAACUUUAGGCCUUAAAAUUGUAGAUUGAUGUUAAUUUAAUCCAUGAAACUAAUGAAAUUUGGAAAUGAUCUCUAAAUUUAAAACCAUUAAUCACAUUAGUCUUAGAUAACAAUUUCAAAGAGUAAAUUUAUUAUCAAGAAGAUUGACGCAUAUGCUUAGACAUUCUACUCACAUCCACAGUAAUUUAAAUUUUAGUUUAGAACUCCUCAUAAUUAGCUAUUCUUCCCUUAAUCUAAAUCUAAAUUUUUAUUUUUCAAAAGAACUAAAAUGAUCAAAUGUUUCUAAUUUCAAAUACUACUAUAAAAUAUCAAUCAUUUCACGAACUAUAAAUUGAAAUUAUACCUAAGAGUUGAAAUUAAACUGACCUGCCAUUCUUGAAAUGCUUCAGUACUUUCAUAGUUAAAUUUUUUGAUAGCAACAACCAUUCCAAAACCUGCUUUACAAGGACAAAGUGUUUUCUCAUCCAACCAACCUUUAUAAACUUUUCCAAAACCAUAUUCACCAAGUAAUGUAUCAGAUUUGAAACUUUUUGUAGCAGCUUUCAGUUCAAUAAAAGCAAAAACCUUCAAAUUUGGUCUUUCAAGAAUUUGGUCUUUCAAAUUUCUUCCAGCACUGCUUGUAGUUGCUGAGAAUCCAACAGUGCUUGUUGAACCUGAAAACAGAGGAAACAGAGGAAAGUGUUAUUAUGAAAAACUUUUGAUGGAAAUUUUUGAGAAAAUGGAAUGGCCCAUGUUGUGAUUUGAACUGGAAAUGAAAAUUUGUGAAGAUGGGUGAUUGAGAAAGUGGAAAAGUUGAAGAAUUGCCUGAAGAAAGAGGUCUGUUGAAGGAAGAAGAUUGAGGAGGUGCAGAGGUGGGGCGCAGAAAGGAAAAACAGAGACCCAUGUGAAGUUCUCUCUGUUUCUCUUUGCAAUUGUCCAAUGAAUUUGGACAAAGAGAGAGUAUAAUGGGUUUUGUUGAAAAUGGUGUUAGAGAGAGAGAGAGAGGACUUCACAGACUUUCUAUUAGAGAUGGAGAGAGAAGUGUCUUUGUCUGUUCUGUUAUGAUAAUUUCUAAUCAAAAAAUGAGUGGUCAACAAGCUUGAUUGGCUCCUUACUUGUAUUUAUACUUUCUUAGCCCCUGUUUGUUUGGUUUUGCGAUUGGAAGCUGUAAACGCACUUUUAUCACCUACAAACGUGACUUUUGAAAUUGGAAGGAUGUUUGGCAAUCAACUAUAAACGUGAUUCAUCUUUUUAGAAUCGAUUCUAAUCGAAGCCGCAUAUUGUAGCUUUUGCGUUGGGCAGAAUCGAGUUUAGUUACGUCAAACAAUAGUUUCCAUUUUUACCCUUUUCUUCCUGCCGUGUCCUUAUAUGCUACAGUUCCCAUUUACAGAGGUUAGCGAAGAGAUCUGAGUGAAUCAUCAACUUAGUCCCUGAAUUAUCACGGGUCGGCCAAAUUCGUCCCUUAAUUAUGAGAAAUAUCAAUUUAAUCCCUGAAUUUGUUAAUUGUCAAUCAAUUUAGUCCUUCUGGUCAAACGGGCCGUUAACGGGGCUGACGUGGACGUUAACAUCUUACAUGUCAUACGCCACGUAGGCAGGGACUAAUUUGGCCGAUAAUUCCAAACAUUUUGAAGGACUGAAUUGAUUGAUUUGCAGAAAUUUUUUUGGUUUCUUCCCAAACAACUCUUUUCUUCCCCAACGACUUUGUCUUCCCCAAUUGUAUAAAAUUGGAACCCUAAUUACACAAUCUAUAAUCUACAUUCUAAUAUCACCUAAAUUUCCUCCAAUAAUAAGUGGUCCAGUUCUUCCUCAAUUCAACAAACUUAAAACCCUAAUUUUUUUUGUAUUGAAGCCAAAAUCCACAAAAUUUCUUGAAGCAAAACGCUUGAAAUUGAAUCUGAAAUGAUAGGGGGUGGGAAUAUGGGAAAGUCGAGCUUCAUCUUCAAGCUGCAAGUUUAAUGGUUAUGAAAAGAGGUUGAAGAUAAUUCAGAAAUGUAACCUUCAAAUACAUCCCCAUAUCAUAAUAAAAACCAUCAAAUAAGUCCCUGAAUAUUUUAAUCAUAUAUCAAAUUGAUCAUUGAAAUUACAGAACACACAAAUUGAAACUAAAAUUCCUCUCAAUUCCACCCCUCUCAUACCACCCCUCUCAAUUCCUUAUCCUUGCACACUCUCAUACCACCCCCUCUCAAUUCCUUAUCCUUCCAUUGUUUUGUGAAGUUCCUCCAUAGAUGCAUUGCACAAUAUCUAUGUGGCACCCCUGGCAUCACUUCUUGCAUGGCUGGAAUCAAACCCUGCCAAUUUUAACAAUUACAGAAUCAAUAUUCCCUGAAUUAUAUCACUAUCCAUCAAAGUAGUCCCUGAAUUAUACUACUUACUAUCAAAACAGUCCCUGAAUUAUAUUUCUAACUACCAACAUAGUGCCUGAAUUAUAUUAAUAAAUAUCAAAAUAGUCACUGCAUUAUUUUACUUACUAUAACAUCAGUUCUAAAACUAUAACAUUUUCAGCUAUUACUAUACAUCAGUAUGCAUGCAAAAAAGGGACAUAACAUGAAUGAGAAAAGGACUAAGAUGGUUAUUCAUACCUUUUGCAUGUCUGAGAUGAAGUUCCAUCCAUUAUGCUCAUAAUUUCCAAGAUCUUUAUGUAGUAAUUUCAAAAACCAUUUCCAGUUAUCUUUAUUCUCCAUAUCCACAAUGGCAUAAGCAAUGACAUAAAUCUGGUUAUUUCAAUCUUGUCCCACAACAGACAAAAGUUGCCCUCCAUAAUACCCUUUAAGAAAGCAUCCAUCUAACCCAAUCAAUGGAGAUGAUGAUGAUUUUGGAGGGGUGACAAUGGAGAACGUUUUAGCGGGAAAGAGAAAAGUCAAGGAUGUUUUUGAGUAAAAUGUGAAGAAGGAGGAAUAUGUAAUGCAAGGGCAAAAUGGGAAAAGCACGAAAAAAUUAAAUUGAAAAAUGAAAAGUGAACUUUUUCCAAAUCAAUCAAAUUCGUCCCUGAACACAUGACUUCCUUCUUGCCACGCAUACAAGACAACACAUCAUGCAAGGCGACAUGUCAGCAUGGCUAACGGAGCCCGUUAACGGAGGGACCUUUUUGAUGGACGUCUGAUAAAUUCAGGGAUUAAAUUGAUAUUUCGCAUAAUUGAUGGACGAAUUUGGCCGACCCGUGAAAAUUCAGGGACUAAAUUGAUGGUUCACUCGAAAAAGAAUUUGACUUUUCUUUUGACUAUUAAAAAUGAAAUGGUUUUGAAGUCCCACUGUUUGAGUCGGUCGGUUGCUUCUAUCCCUUGUUUUUUAAGUUUUUUUUUUUUCUUUUUUUUUUUUCCAAUUAUUUUUCUUAUUAUUAGACUUAGAUUUUUGGUGUUAUUAUUAGACAAUAAACAUUGUUCGAAAAUGUUAUAAAUAUAAAUAAAUAGUAAAAAAUAAUCCUUCCAAAUUUUUUUAAUAAUGCCAAAUAAUUUUAAAUGAUAAUCUAUCAAAUAAAUGAAAUAUAUAGUUUAGACAAAAAUCAAAACCCAUUUUAAUAAUUAUACGUCUAACAGCAAUUCUAAUUCAGUUUAUCCAAACACAAUGAGCUUUCGAGAAUCACUUUUAAGCAAAUGAAUCCAAACAUAAAUCAAUUCAUCUUAAUUCGCUUUUAAUUAAAAUCAAUUCUGUCAAACUCAAUUUUAUAAAACUCAAUUUUGACUACGCCGAACCAAAGACACAAGAAAAUCAACUGUUCACAAAUUCAAACUUUUGGUUAAAUCUUUCUUAACCCUUCCAUUUGUUGGGUAAUGAAUGGGACAAAGAUUGUUUUAGACUAUAAGCAAACACACAAGUAAAUUAGAUAUCAAAUCUUCAUUUCAAAUCUUAAAAUAUUAGAUAUAUGGUUAUUGUGAUUUGUAUGUUGGUCAACAUCUAUUUUUCUAUCAAUAAAUGCAAUGAAUGUUUAUUUUUUCUUCAAAUGGCUAGAAAAUUUAGGGUUAACUAAAAAUGUGAGUGAUUUUAAUCACCGUAAAAAUAAAAUAGGACUAAAGUUGAACUACACUUUUGUAUGAGCUAGACUUAAAAUAUCAUAAAUUUUACAACGGCGAAAAAUGAUAUAAUCCAAAAAAUUUGAAAAAUAAAAAAACUCUUCGAACUAUUGAAUUUUUAUUAUUUGACUAAAUGGACCAAUGAAAUAUAACUUUUUUUUUAAAGGAGGACCAGUGAAAUAUAACAUAUAAUAUACUAAAAAGUAACAUUUUUUAAAUAACAAUAGUCCUUUAUUUCAAUAUCAUGCUUUUAACAAUACUUAUCAGGUUAAUUGAAAUCUUUCUUCCUCUUUCUCUUCUAUCCUUCUCAAACCCUAGCCGUCACCCCUUUCUUCUUCUUCUUCUUCUUUUUAGAUGGGUGAUUUAAGGUCAAUUUUGACCCAAAAAUCAUCCAUCCAAAUUGUUUUUCUUUCUAUUAUAAUUGAAUAAGUGAUUUCACAUAUUUUCUGUUUUGUUUCGUUUGUUUUUGUGAUUUCGUCGUCUCUGAACAACUCUAUUUGUUUUGAUUUCCCGUCUUUGUACGGUGUGUUUUUGAUUUCCAGUCUUAGUGCAGUGUUUAUUUGAUUCAGGUUGAAAGAUUAACUUUGAUCAAGUGCAGAUCUGAUCAAUGACAAUGACUUUGACGUCGUCAACGUCGCAGAUCCAGAGACACGAGUAUUCCAGAGACAUAAAUAUAGUCCUAUUUGUAGGCAUAGGUACUUUGCCAUUUUAUACUAUUAACAUGGAUGUUGUGAGUUUGUUCACAGAUUCAUCCUUUUGUUUUUAGCGAAUUUGGAUUUGUAUUAUAUCGAUGUACUCUAUCAAUUUGAAUGAAUGAAUAUCGUUUAUUUUUGUCCAAAAAAAAAACAAUACUUAUCAUGUUAAUGUAAUAUAUUAUUUAUUGGCUUAAUUAAUCUGUCGUUUCCUUAACUUAUUUCUUUUAUUCAUUUUGGUCCCAUAAAUCUUAAGUUUCUCAAACACGUCCCUUAACUUAUUUCUUUUAUUCGAUACGGAGGUCUAUCAAAUUUUAUAAUGUAUCACCAACACCUAACUUAUUUACUUUCAUUUUCUUUUACUCUUUUUCUUCUUCUUCUUCAUUCAUCUUUCUAUCAUCUUCUUAAACCUUCACAAAAAAAAAAAAAAUAAACAAAAACCAAUAAUUAAACUCACUCUUUAAUCACUACACCAUAACCAUGAUUAUUGUUCACAACAGGUGUAAUCCAGAAAACAUGUUCCUUCUCAAUUCUUCCCCCUUCUUUCGAUUCCAGAUCUGAGUGCCAAGGAAGCAAAAAAAAACUUCAAUGAAGAAAAAGAAAAAGAUAAAGGAUGUUUAAAAGAAACGGAAAAUUCAAAUCUUCUCCAUCUUAUUCCAAAUCUAAAUUCGUCUAUGUGAACAAGAACACAAGCCAAUAACAAAUCUAUAAGAAACAAACUUAUAACUAUGCUUCCCAAAAAAACGUUUGACUAUGUUUCCAAUUCCUAUUACAAACCCAAAACCCCAAUACUAAUAUUACAAUACAAUUCCAAUUCCAAUUACAUUUCCUCAAAUUCAACCACUUACUUGUUUGAUGGUUAUGUUUUCUCGAGGAUGUUAGAGAGAAUUCAAUGAAAUUUGGGUUAGAAUAUGUUCAAGACAUUGUUCUUUCUAAGAUAUGUGGCGAUGGGAUAUUAACUAGUGACUAUGUUUCCUCAUUCUAUGCCAUAAAUUUGUGUUUCUGGGUUUUAUUUUGAUUAUGAUUUUGAGUUUUGAAUUUGGGUUUUUAGGUGUUGGAAUUGAAUCUAGGUUUUUUUUAUAUAUUUUAUUUUAGAGUAAAUAGUCAAUUUCCCCCCUGAAAUUGUAAGUUUCGUCAAUUACCCCUCUGAAAUUAAGAAAACUUCAAUUACUCCCUGAAAUUGCAUAACGUUAAUCAAUUUACCUCCUCCGUCAAAUUUUUCUGCUAACUGUUUACGGUUAUGAUCAAAUACCCCCCCUGAAAUUUUGCACUUAUGUGCAAAAUGCCCCUAAACUUGAAAAUUUAUAUUUUUUUUUAUCCUUGAUUCAAAAGAUAUUAAAGGCAAACAAAUUAACAAUUAUUGAUCAUAUAAAUCUGUAUGGAAUGUAUGUUUAUGCAGCAAUUGAUCAUAUAAAUCUUUAUGGAAAGUAUGUUAUUCUCAUGUGUUUUACAUAUAUACAUAUAUAGAAGACUUUUUUUACACAAGUUGGUAAUUAUGUUAGAGUAUGCAAUCAUAAAGUACACAAGUCUUUGAUAAUUGUGCGUCCAUAAACAAAAUUCAUAGGUUAUCUGCAGAAGGAAUAAGAAACAAGGCUUGUUGAUAAAUAUGAAAUAUGAAUAAAAAGGCUGCACAUGACAAAACCAUGAUUGCUUUGGCAUAUAUUCAUUCAUUUUCUUGUGAAUAGAAUUUUUAUGACAAUAGGUACAAUAUACUACUUGAAGAACGUAUGAUUUUUGGUAAGAAAAAAAAUCUAAAUUUUUAAGUUUAGGGGGCAUUUUGCACAUAAGUGCAAAAUUUCAGAGGGGGUAUUUGAUCAUAACCGUAAACAGUUAACAGAAAAUUUUUGACGGAGGUAUAUCAUAUCAGUUACCUUCAUCUCAGAUGUCUUCAUCUUAUCAAGGGAAUAUUUGGAAACAAAGUUGGCAUUUGCACUCCUAUUUUCUAAUACUUUUGCACAUGUGUGGUCCUCAUACCAUGUCUUUAAUUUAAAUGUAUGGUUGUAUGCCACUUUGCUGCAGUGGGCCAACCAACGACAUAUAUUGUUUCUGCACACAACCCUACACCUUUCUUUAUCAUUUUUCACAAAUUUUAUAGGAUACUCAUUUAAUACAUUUCACUCCCUUAUUGCAGCCUUAAACUCUAUUAGAGACUUAAAAUCCAUACCUACUUUGAAAACAUGAUCCUUGUUGAGUUGACUCAUCUUAAAUACAUCAUAAAUAGGUGUUUUCUCAUCAUCAGACACAUCAGGACCAUCAAAAUUUAAUUCAUCACUCUCAUACUCCUUCAUCCAAUCAGGAUCAACCACAUCAUCAUUUCUACGAACACUUUUUCCUUUAUCAGUCCUUUGUGAACCUCUCUCAACGUUCAAUCUAUCAUUGUUACCCUCAUCUUCAUCAACCCUUUCUUAAAACCCAUCCUCAGCUCCCAGUGCUCUCUCAUUUUCACUAUCAUCAAGCCUACCAUUGUUACCCUCAUCUUCAUUUCUACUUACACCACCAUCAUCCUCUUGUUUGUUGCCACUACACACUAAUAUCCCUUUUCCUUUGUCAGUGUUAACCAAUUGGGAACUCUCGUCAUUCUCUUUGUUAAUCAACUAGGAACUCUCACCCUCUUCAUCACUACCAACAUAACUAGGUAUAUCAACUAAUCCCCUAUUUUCAUCAUCAUUAUGUUCAACAAAAAUAUUUAUAGUACACAAUUUUAUUUGCGCAGAUUCUUUAAUAUCAUUAGCAUCAACAUCUAAUCUAAGCACCCUAAAAGUAACCUCUACAUCUGACAUCCACCACAAUCUAUAAGGUUUUUCCACUUUAAAAUCGUUUUCAACCAUACCAGUAAUCUCAAAAUAACUGAAUUUAUCAUCUUCUAUUCCUUCAACCAAAGUUUCCUCUCCACCUUUGUAACAAACAAGCCAGUCCCUAACAAAGCAACCUCCAUGAUGAAAAUGAACAAAAAUACCCGUACUGAAAACGUCGAACAAAUGGAAAAUAACACUAAGUUACAUUCGUAUAACAGGUAAACAUUUAAAAUGAAGAAAAAAACGAUAAACAAUCAUCUAAUAACAUUAUUGCGAAAAUAAACAAGUAUAGAUGAGAUUAAAGUACCUGGAUUUCGUUUCGCUUCCUCUUUCAAAGUUCUUCAAACCCAAAAUCAUUCUUCAAGCCAUCCCAGAUUCGUCUCGAGUUCUAUUUAUUCUAAUUUGUAGUGAUUUUGUUUCGAUUCGUCACAAUAUCAACUCAGAUCGAUUCGUCUAUUCUAUCAACGUUUUCCAUGUAUUCAGUUCUUCUACUCAAUAUCCACAAACCCUAGUUUCAUCCUUGUAGGUUUCCAAAUGAAGAGCCAGACAAAAGAAAAUGAUGUAAGGGACAUUUUUGUCAUUUCGCGUCGCUCUGAUAGAAUGAGGGGUAUUUUUGUCACUUCAAGUCAAAAUUUGAUGAGUCUAUGUGCCACGUCAGAUGUUUAGUGAUGUGGCAUGAUUAAAUGAGUCAAUGGACAAUAAAAUAAGGGUCUUGUUAACGAGUCCCCACGAGGUACUCUUUAAGGAUUCAAAAAGUAGAAAUUAUUUUAUAAAAAAAUCAAAUAUUUUGAUUUCCGAUGCAUUGAUUACACAUAUUUUUAUGAUAAAUUACUAUUUAAAGGCCUUAACUAAUGCCCCGGGAGCACUAAUUAACAUUUCUCAUAAAAUAAUUAAUGAUUGCAGGGACCAAUCUUCAAAUGAGCUAUAUAUGCAAUAGUUAAAAGUAUAAAUAAGUGUAUCGAAAAUCUUUGAAAAGUUUAGCUUUUAUAUUGGACCUUCUUUAGAUCUAAACCUUCACAUGGCAACAAGAAAAUGAAUGACAAACAUCAAACAAUAUAAUCUUUGAAAAUUUUGUUGGGUGUCAUUUUACGUUUCCGUUUAAGUGUUUAUUUUAACCGUCAAUCCAUCACCAUUAAACUCUUUAAAAUAUUAAAUAAUGUGACAAUACAUCAUCAUUGGAUGUGUUUUGUCAAAUAAAUUAUUGCAUGUGUAAAAAUAAAUUAGCAUUCAAGCUACCUUUCAAAAUAGUGACGUCGACUAUCAAGGUGAUUUGCUUCAUUGCGUUUAUAUAGCAGCGCAUGUUUUAUUUAUCAAAACCUAAAACAUAAACUCUACCAAACGUGCAUUCAACAUAAACUAGAACGCCGUCCUGUGCAUCGUACGGGUUAUGUCGACUAAAACACAACUUGCAAAGUGAUAUACCAUAUUUAAUUUUUUUUUAAUCGGCAAAUAUUAUUAAACGCCAUCCUCGCAAGACGCAAGGUAUGGACGAAACAAGAUACAAAUGGUGCCGUAUAUAAACGGUACACCAUAACCACCUAAAAACACUCCUGAAGAUAAACUCACCAAAACACAUCACCACCUAAAACAGACUCAAAAAAAAAAAAGCACUGUAAACACAGUAUCCACCAUCGCCCAUCGUCACUACUCACCCACAAAGAACACCCUCAAAAUAAAACUCCCAUACUCCAACACCCAAGCUGAGCCACAUUUCGAAGAGCACCUAACCGAAGGGUCAUUCAGCUAUCACAAACCUCGCGACCUCCGAUCCACCGAAAAAGCACAACACAAAUCCCAAAAUCCAACUUGAGUCAAAGAACUGACUCCCGAUCUCGAAUCAAAAGUGAUCGGCCCACCAGACUAUAGUACCAAAUUAGCAGGGCACCCUCGCCCCUGGUACACCAGAGAAAAACCAAAUCAAGUCUGUGCUCCUCGAUUUUCGGAUAUCAAACCAUUGAUUGAUUUGAAUCGUCAAUCUUUGAACUCUCAAUUUUUAUUCAUGGGAAGGGAAAAAAUGAGUAAAAACCCUUAUCGAGACUUUGGAUUCGGGGGUUGGUUUCGAAUAGGGAAGGUGUUAAGCACCCUAAACGACUUCGGUACUCCGAAGGAACCGCUUACCUAGAUUAUCUUGUGCUAAAUUCAUUUGCUUACUUGAAAAAUUAUUACCUAAAAAUCUAUGUAAAAGAAUGGAGGGGGAAGAAGUAUGUUUUUGGUUAUUUUUAUUUGAUUUGGAAGGACAAGUCCUCUGCCUACGUACCCUUUUUUGGGAAAGGGAUCAAAACCGACGUAGUUCCACUAAAAAAUUUCUUUGGUGGGUUAGGUUGAUUUUAAGAUUUUUUUGAAAAUGGUUUUAAGAAUAGAAAGAGGCCUCAAGGCAUGAGAUAAAAGAAAUGAGUGAGGUUGAUUAAUUUUAAAUUUUUGAAAAUGAUUGAAGUUGAAUUAAAAUUGAUUGAGAGUUUGAUUAAGAAAAUAAAGGAAAAAUGUUAUCAAGAGAAUGAUUUUGAAGUUUUGCAUAUUUGAUUUUUUUGAGAAAAUGAUUUUUCUAAACUAACGGUGAAAACUAACGUAGCGUCGUAAAAAAACGAGCGGAAAGCGGUAAAUAUAUUGUGGUAGUGUCGGUGCAAGUGUCGGUGCUUGUGUUACCUACAUUAUUACAUCAAUUCCUAAAUACAACCCUAAAGCCUUUAUGCCAAAAUAAAAAUGCAAGAAAUAAAAGUACAUCAAUUCCCUAUUUAUACACACUAAAUCAAUGACCAAACAAAAUGAUGAGAAAAUUAAAUGUGCAUGCUAUGAUUCAAGACAAAAAUUAAAUCGUUAGUAACAUAAGAAAUAUCAUGGUGAAUGAGACAUAAGUAAUAAAAAGCAAGUAAUUAAGACAAGCAACAAUUAAGAUCAUCCUAUAAGAAAUAAAAUAAAAUAAAAAAUUAAUUUAAAAGAAGACAAAUAGGAUGGAUUUUUAAAAUUAGAGAAAAUUAAAAUGGUGAGAAAAAUAUUUUAGAAUUUUCCUAAACAUAAAAAUGUCAAAAAAAAUGUAAAGACAAUUAAAAAUAAGAAAUAAAAAAUUGGCUCAGCAGGAUCUAAUCUGGACCGUUGGAUGAAUCCAGAGGUCCAGAUCUAAAUCCCAAGAUCUCAUCACAGCCAUUGGAUCAAAGAUCCAAAGGUUAAGAAAACAGCACAAAAUAGAAAAAUACCACAGGAAACACAGUGACCGUCAGAUCAAAGAUCUGACGGUUUACACAAAAAACAUACCAAUGUUCACCCAAAGAGACACACACAUAAUUCAAAAUCAAAACAUACAAUAGCCAUCAGAUCAAGGAACGAUCCCGAUCUGAUGACCCACAACGCGAGGGAGCACUAAAUUGAAGUAUACGCGCGUGUACAGGAACGUACAAAAAAUAUAGUAGUAUAAAAAGAGUCUUUACCAAAAAAUCAACACAACUACACAAGAACUCUCUCUCUAAACUUUCUAGUGAGAGAAGGUCUGCAAGUGCAGCCUUCUUCUCCGGCGUGAGUUGCAGCUUCCGACGUGGUGGCUGCCGGCCAACAGGCGGCGCCGCCGCGUCGGAGAACGAAACACCUCCGUUCAAAAAACUUUCUACAUCUUUAAAGAUCCUUUUUCGCCUAGAGUUCAAAUCCGGCCUCAGAAUUUUCAAAACAAACUCCUACAAGUCUAGAUCUAGGAACAAAGAUUCAAAGAAAAAUAAGCAAAAAUACCUUGUUUACCUCACUAUUCCGGUCCGGUUCGCUUCUCUCUUCUUCACGACCUCACGCUGAUUCCGAGUUUGGAUCUGCUCUCUCUUUUGUUCUUUGAUUCGAAUACGUGUUGCUUGCUUCUCUCCGAUCCGGUUCAGGCGCGUCCCUUUUGCUCCGGUUCGGUUCGCUUUGUUUUUGUUAUGUGUUGAUUUGAGUUGGUUUUAUGGAUUUGUGGUGUUUAUGUUGAUUUCUGGUAAAAAGUUAUGAGGAUGAAUGUUCAUGAAUAUUCAUGAGUGUUGUUGGUGAUGUUCAUCUUUUCUUUGUGAUUUUUUUGUGUUUGAUCUGUAUUUUGUAUGAGAGAGAAAGGAUUAGGGUUUGUAUUGAUUGAGGGACUGAUUUGACUCUGACGCAGCUACAGUGAUUUUUCUGGACCUAUUCCCAAUGAUUGGACAGUGUAUUUAUAGUGACAAAAUAGGGUUGGCUCUGGUACAGAUCAAAGACCAAAAUACCCCUGUUGGAGACUUGGGGAUAAAGACUUAACAAAUAAUAAAAAAAAUAAGAAAAAGGAAAAGAAAAGAGGAAGGAAAGAAAGAAAGUUCACGUGACUUUCUUUUCUUUGUUUUUUUUAAAAAAAAAUAAUAAAAAAAAAUAAUAAUAAACAAAAAAGAAAAAUAAAUAAAAAAAAACAAAUAAAAUAAAAAUAAAAUAUUAAUUAAUAUAAAAAAAAGUCCCUUCGAAAUUUGAUAUGAGGUACUUCAAAGUAUCCUCCCUGCCGAAAUUUCGGUUGAAAUGAUUAAAAAGACACGACUUUGAAAAUACAAUUAGACCUUUUAAAAAAGACUUGACCGUUACGACUAAAACUUUUAAAAAUAAAAUGCGUCUAAAAGUUAUAAAAAAAACGGAUGAAGUGAUUUUAACUGUUGUAAAAAGCGAGCAGAGACUUAAAUGCAAGAUGACAGUUUUUUUUUAAUAAUUAAAGACGACACAAAAACGAGUUUUAAAUGGUAAAAGAAACGGAUAAAAGAUUUCAAACGGGCCAAAUUUGGGGUAUGACAAAGUCAAACAAAGAUUGCAGCUAGACCCUGACUCCCGAUCUUGAAGCCAAAUGAACCGGCCCACCGAAAACCAGCGCACAAAUAUGUAAGACGAAAGACAUGGCAUGCGAAGUUUGAACAACAAACAAAUCAAAAGGAAAAGGCUCAACACAACGUGACACGCACCCUCCGAACUCCGUAAACACCUCACUAAGCAACACCAACCACCACCACACAUCAUCACCACCACCACAACAACAACUGAAUAACCUCCACCACCACUACAUCACCACUGCGCAUCACCACCACUGCAUCACUACGCCGCCAAACAUCGUCACCAAGAAACAGGCAGCAACACAAAUACAGAUCUCUCCGGUGUCUGGCCGCCACUUCGUAGUCUAAGAGAGUGGAUCCUCUUCGGUGGAGAUCCCUCCUGUUUUCUGCAGUGCCCUACUAUCCAUCUUUAAUUAUACUCUCUUGUUGUUUGAUAUUACAAACACAUUAUCUCACCUAUUUAAUGGAGUGCUUGGAUUGCACAUGAGAGAAAACCACAUAAGACAAUCUCCUCCCAUUGUCUAAACCAUGCAAAUAUGAUAAGUGUAUAUGGCGUGAAAAAAAUUGCCAUGCUUUUUUUUAUAUUUUUAAAUAACAUAUUUUCCUAUACAUCCUAAAAUUAACUUUUAUGUUUAGAUGGUUAUACUCCAUUGUAGAAGAAAUAUUGCUCUAUAUACUACUUAUAGGGAUAUAUCUAUCGAGAUUUUUUUUACAGGGAAAGCAGAUUGAGCAAAUAUAUUCAUUGAUAUUAUAAUUGUUUUAGUGUAUGUUAGUGAAUAGAACUAAUAUGUUUUAAGUUAAUGAAAAUAUACUUUUCAUUAGCAUUUAUAAACUCAAAAAAAUAAUCAAACAUGAUAACUUUAACGAUAGAUAUUCAUUGUAGACAUAAUCAUUUGUUUAAAGAUGAGUUAACACUGUCAAACGCAAAAACAAACAUAAAGAAUGCAAUGCCUACAUGAUAGUUCAUAGUCAACGUUGAAUAAAUUUUAGAAAAAUUGCAUAAAACUGAUGAAAAUAACGACAUAUAUGUAGAUGCUGGGGUUCGAACUCCAGCAUUCCAAUUCUUCACAUUUAAAAUGUGCGAGCUUCAGCCAUUAGGCUACUUGACAAAAAAUAGUUCUCUAAUUAAGUUGCUAGAUUUUGAAAACCUCAGCUUCAAAUUUCACUAGGCUUAUGACUGUAUGUAACAGCCAAAUGAGUGGUGAUUACUGAUUACUACCAAGAACGGAGAAUCUCUGCUGUUCCAGCUUGACAUUAGUUAUUUUGUAGUAAUAAUGAUGCUGGUAGAAAUGCUAAAUAUUGUGUGCAUAUGUUAAAAAUAAUGAUGUAUGAUUGCUUGACUUUGAUAACUUCGUUGAGAUUCAAAGCCUUGCUACCUAAAGUUUAGAGAUAAAAAAACAGGUGAUAUGUUGUGCCUCCCAAAGGAUGAAGCUGUCGUUUGUUAAAUUUUAUUUAUGGCUUGUGCUCCUGGCCUCUUGGUGAGAACAAUUUGGAUACUUCUUAUUCUCUCCGCCCAUAAUUACAAUUUUAUUUUGAGAUUUUUUUCAAUUAUCCCCAAGUAAACCCAAUUUAAAUUUCUUGACACAUAUGUUGUUAUUUUAUUUUUCAAAUAAACAACCAAGAACAACUUUAAUGCAUGAUGCACUAUGUCCAAAUUUCUUAUAGAUAAUGACAACUAUAGAAAACUUGCAUUGAAGUGAAACAUGUCAUGACAUUGGGUGAACUAAAAUUUAGCGUACAUAAUAUAGAAGCAACCUAAAAUAAAAAAACUCAAGCAUUGAAAUCAUUGAUCAUUAUUAUUUUUUAAAUAGCCAACGGCUAUAUCAUUAAAAAUAAUGGCUAUACUCCUUAAAUUAAACAAAACUGAUAUGAACAUUUUUAUCUUCCAAUUUUUUUACAUACAAUUGACUUUCUAUAAUUUUAUUCUUUUGUUCUCUUUCAAUCUUCAAUCAUAUUUAAUUGGGUUAAAUAAGUAAAUAGUCCCCUUAAAUAUAUCAACAUUUGAUUUUAGUCCCCAUAAAAUAUUCUUUAGGCUUUUGGUCCCUCUAAAAAAUUCUAUUUAUGAAAUUAGUCUCUGCUCUAGUGUAAUAAAUGAAAAAUUUUAGAGGAAACAAAAACCUAAAGAAUAUUUUAUGGGGACUAAAAUCAAAUGUUGGUAUAUUUAGGGAGACUAUUUACUUAUUUAACCCUAUUUAAUUUUUCAUAUUUGGAAGUGAUUUGGUCAUGAGAAUAAUGAAAGUUAAUUUUUAUCGAAUUUGUAUUUGGGUUAAAAUGUGAUUUGUUGGUUUUAUCGUUUGUGAAAUGAUUGUUGAAUUACAUCUAAUUUCAAUAGACUAAAUUUAAAAGUUGUUUCUUAUACUUUGAUGAAUCAACUGACCUAAAUAUCAAUGCACUUAAUUUUUUUUUUUUGUUAUUGACGGGUCAAACCACCAACCGCCAAAUCAUCAAAGAGACGGGGUGAAAGUUUCAGCCCUUCUACCUAAAUUGUCCCUCCCCACGGUCGAGUUGGCUUUGUCGCCCCUAGUUCCAUGCAAAUAUGAAAAUUUCUCUAGUCCGGGUUAUGUGUGCAAUACCAUGCCAUUUAAAGUUGGGUAAACUAUUUGAUUGUUUAAAACAAAGUGGUAAUGCCAUGUCAUUCAAAAAAACUCUAAUAUUUUUCAAGCUUCUCAGACACAGUCUCGCGGGUUCAAUUAGUUGCAUAAAGUUUCACAAUGCAACUGUAGAAGCAAAAGAUGCAUUUUAAAGAGUUCCAACUUUCAAGAAAUCAGUUUAAAUGCAGUAGAAGAUACAUUCCCUUCCUUGAAGGUUGAUAAAUCUAAAAGCUUAUUGAAUUUUUUUAUUGUAAACAAAAUAAAAAACAUGACUGUUUAGUUUCAAAUAUAAGCAAUAGGAAAGAUAGACAACUUAGUAUGAAACUAUCGAAAGAAGUUAAACAUCAAGCAGAACAUAAUGGCAAGCUUGGGAAGUUUCACGUCUGUAUUAAACUUUCUGUUAUUUCUCUUUGUUGGUUUAUUCUCUUCAUCUGAAGCUGCCAUAAGGAAAUACCAGUUUGAUGUGAGUUAUAAUAUUUUGAUAAUAUUCAGCAUGCCUUAACUGACUAUAGCUAGCAAUGCAAGGUUCCCUUAAUAGCAUUUUUGUUCUUUCUACAGAUUCAAGAUAAGAAUGUGAGUAGAUUGUGCCAUGCAAAACCCAUUGUAACGGUAAAUGGGAGGUUUCCAGGGCCAACUAUCAAUGCCAGGGAGGGAGAUCAAGUGCUUGUCAACGUUACCAACCAUGCACAAUACAAAUAGGUGAAGUUUUUAACACUAGAAAAUACAUGUUAUAUGCUUAUCAUAGGCAUGGACUUAAACAAUAAUGUAAUGGUUUGGCGGAUGGACCGGCUUACAUCACACAGUGUCCGAUACAGACCGGAAACAGCUAUACUUACAAAUUCAACGUUACUGGGAAAAGAGGAACAACACUAUGGUGGCAUGCACACAUUUUCUGGCUGAGGGCCACUGUCUAUGGGGCAAUAGUAAUCAUGCCUAAACUUGGAAUACCUUUCCUUUCCCACAGCCAGCUAGAGAAGUCAAAAUUGUCUUAGGUAAGUAUUAUAAAGAUUCAUUUUUCCAAAAAAAAAAAAGUAUUAUAAAGAUUCAUCGGAAUAAGAAGUAUGAAAGUUGAUAUACUAAUUGUUUCUGCAUGCAAUAGGUGAAUGGUGGAACAAUGAUGUGGAAGAGAUUGAAAAUCAAGGAAACAAUAUGGGGUUGUCACCAAAUAUGUCAGAUGCACAUACGAUCAAUGGAAAACCAGGACCGCUAUUUCCUUGUUCUGAUAGCAAAAGAAAACUACGGUUUUGGAAGAAAGGUGGCAUUGAGAGAAAGCUACAUAGAGAUUCAACCGUAGAGUUCACCGAUGCUGCUAAACAUUGACGUAAUAAGGGAGGAGUUUUAUUCAAUCUAAGGGAAAUAUAUUCAUGGGGGUAGCGAGGAGUCCUUAACUUCCGGUGUUUUCUUAACUCUUACGAUGAAUCUUGGUUAAAUUUAUAUUCUUUUAUGUUGUUAUAAUUACUUUUGAUGAAUCUUAGUUAAAAUUGAAGGUGAGAAAAACACAAGAAGGGGGAGUUGAAUUGUGUUUUCUUUUUCUCUCUAAAAAUUCUUCUUCUGAUAAACCUUCAGAAGCAGUUUGUGAGUGCUUCUGAUGAAAUGAUCAGAAUCAGAUAUGCAGCGGAAAAGAACAGAGCAGAGAAAAGAAAGACAAAGACAUAAGCAGUUAUCCUGGUUCAUUCCACAACACGGAAGUAGUCCAGUCCCCCUUGCACUUCCAAGGAGAUUUCACUAUAAUCACAAAGAUUACAAAUGCUCAAUACUCUCUAAGUAUGAGACUUCACAAAAAUGCUCAAGCACACACGCAAGAGUCUUCCAAUGCUCAAGCACUAAGCAAGAGACUUCUAAUGCUCAAGCACGCAGGCAAGAGGCUUCUGAUCAAACAAAAAUACAAAGAAUUAAGUUUGACUUAAACACUUGAUAUACAAUCAGUGGUGUUCGCAAUACAAUAUAAUAAAGACUCUAGACUAUUGAAUUUCUAAGAUGUAUCAAAUCAGUGCAGAAAUUCAGUGUGCUUUGUAGAAUCAAAUUGACAGAGUUUUUUUGGCGCUUUUGAACUUGUGUAUAUCUUUCUACAGUCUUCAAGUCUUCACUCCUUUAUAUAGAGGUGUGAAAGAGACGUUGAGAGGAUUAGCACGUCUAAAGAGUUGUUUGAAAUCUUUUGAUCAUCCACCAAUAAUCCUUUGCCUGAUUUGGGUGUAGUCCUUUGAAGAAUUAGCUUCAAAUUCAUUCCCAUCUUGAAGGCAUAAAUUAUGCAGGCAUAGCUGUUGUCUUGUCUUAUAGCGUGGACAAAAACAGAGUAGUGGAGGUAGUGGUUGUACACUUGUACUUUGUCAACUCUGUUAAUGAAGGACAAAUGCUCAGUGCUAUCAAAUGACAGUUGAUACCUCCCUUUCAAUUCUUCGUUCUUCUUAGAUAAGAUUGAAAAGAGAAACAGCUACUUUGGAUCUUCAGUUUGAAUUUAUGGAUUAAAUGUAGCUUCUGGUGAUGAUAUCGCUUCUGAUGAAAACCUUGCUUCUGAUGACCUUCUGCUUCUGAUGAGCUUCUGCUUCUGAUGACGUCAUCACUUCAGAAGCACUUCAGCUUCAGAAGCACUAUAAGCUUCAGACGCAGUUUUCUUCAGAUGCUUGGAAUUCUUUUGCUUUCCAUUGUUCUUCCAAGACCUAUUGAAAUUACUUGACUAGCCUUUGGUCCUGUACACUUGAACAAUUAUUAGCAAUAACCAAUUGACAAUUUUUAAUACGUUUGUUAUCAUCAAAACUCAUUAAGGUUCAUUGUGAAACACAUUUUGUUCCAACAAAAAUCAUAUUCUUUUAUUUUGUCGUAACUACUUUCGAUGAAUCUUUGUUAAAUUUAUGUUCAUCUAUGUUGUUGUAAUUAUUUUUAUGAAUCUUUGUUAAAUUCAUGUUCUUAUAUGUAGUCGUAAUUAUAUAUGUUUGAUUUUUGUUUCUGAAUUGUGUUGUUUUCAUGUUAAAUUCGUGAUUUAAAUAUGAUGAUGUUGUGAUGUGGAAUAUAUAAGAAGAAGUGAGUAAAAAUCAUGGUAUUAGAGGUAUAGAAUGAGGUUUUAUAAAUUACUCUAAGUCAGACAGCUUCAAAAAUUGAUAUCUUAAGCUAGGAAACCCCUUUUCGUGUGAGACCACUUGCGUUCGAAAGAGGACAUAUAGUAGUUUCUUCAUAUUGAAUUUAAUAAUUUUAGCAUUAACCUAUAUGCCCCAGUAACUCUGUGAACACAUCUAUUCUGUCAUAUUUUUUUUAAAGUAACGUUGUUGUCUUAAGAAAAAAUAUGAUGUUGUUAAUACGUAGGGAAAUUGGGUGGGAGUAAUGGUUGUAGUGUUGAGUGAUGGUGAGUAUGAGUUAGUGAUAAAAUAAUAUAUUUCGAUUGAUAAAUCGAGAUGAUGAGAAAUCAAGAAACUUAGUUUUUUAUCAUGUUAAAUUGGGAUAAAGGUAUAAUGUUUAAAGGGAUUUUAGUGAACUUCAAUUAUUAAAUCAAAUUAGUUAGUUGAGGAUUAAUUGUGGAGUGUACUUGGAUAAAAGUAGUGUUAAAGGAAAUAGGAGGAUGACCUUUGAAGAUUAACUUCCAAUGUUAGUUAAGUUAGGAAGAGUGUCGAAAACAAGUCCCAUUGAAAGUUUCUAUUUUUGUUUGGAGGUUUGUUCGUGAUCGUUUACCUACAAAGUCCAAUUUGGUGGCUAGAGGGGUUCUUCCUUCAGAUAUGGCGUCUUGUGUUGCUGGUUGUGGCCUCGCUAAAUCGGCCCAGCAUCUCUUUUUGUCGUGUACAACCUUUGGUUCUAUAUGGCAGCUUGCGCGAGUUUGGAUUGAUUUUCAUGGGGUGGACUCUGAUGUUAUUUCUGCUCAUUUACUGCAUUUCACACAUAUGAUAGGUGGCGGUAAAGCUAAAGGUUCUUUCAUGCAACUCAUUUCGCUCCUUUAUGCUUGGGUUGUGUGGAAUGAGCGCAAUAGUCGCUUGUUUUAAAAUGUAAUUAUUCCCAUUUCCUGUUUGCUUGAAAAGGUCAAGAUGUUGUCUUUAGGUUGGCUAAAAGCUAAAAAUGUCAUUUUUACUUAUGGAACUCAGCAAUGGUGGUCUAGCCCUUUAACUUGUUUGGGCAUAGGCUAAUGUUGUUAUGUUGGAUUCUUUGUGUUUCUGUUAUCUUUGUGUACUUUUGGUAGUCUCUAAGGCACACCUUGUGCUUUGUUGACUGCUUUGUGGUUUAUAAUAUAUCAUUUUGGCUUGUUCAAAAAAAAAAAAAAAAAGAGUGUCGAAAACAUGUUUUGAAAUAAUAUGUUUUAGAUGAUGAAUUGAAUUGAUGUGAUAUUAAAUGAUGAAAUUAUUAAUUUGACUAUGUGUACGAAAAAUUAUUUGACGAUGUGUAAUAAUAAAUUAUUUGACGAUGUCUGAUGGUGAAUUAUUUGACGAUGUCUAAUGAUGAAUUAUUUGAGAAUAUGUAAUGAUGAAUUAUUUAACAAGGUGUAACGAUGAGUUAUUUGACAAUGUGUUGAAGAUGUUGGAUUUAAAUAUGAGUUGGAUAAAUUCAGUAACAUACCUCUAAUAUUCAAAAUUGGUGAGUAUGUUUGAUACUACAGGCAUAUUUGAUCGAGUUUAGGAGAAUUGCAUACACAAACGCAUUUCAUUGAUGAGUGUGAAUUCAUAAAUGAUAAUUGUCCUUUGCUUUUUGUUGAAAUUACAUAUCAUUUAUUUUGUUUCGCUUAUUAAGGUUUGUCUCCAUGUCUCCAACCUUCCAUUCAAGUCCUCCAUCGACUCCUUCAAACACGAUUACAUCACCUGCAAAAAGUACACUGUGUCAAAAACGAAAAUUAAAACAAAAAAUAUUUACAUAUGGUUGAGAAGUAAAUAAUUAUAUAUUUUAGUUUUUUUUUAAUAUUGUUUUGAUGCUAAGCUCUCUUUGUAAAUAAUUAUAUAUGUUGUUUAUGUCUUCAAAUUGCAAAGUUGGGAAGCAGAGAAAUCGUGACACGAUUUUGGUAAUGUCGAGAGCUGGUUUUCAGGGCGUCCAAUUGUGACACGAUUUUGGGAAAUCGUGACACGAUUUUUGGCUUGUUGGGCAAGAUUUUUAGGAUAAGGUUGGUCGUACCUUGGAUCAUACGCAUCAAUCGUGACACGAUUGGGAAAAAACGUGACACGAUUUUGACGCAGAAGACAGCUAUAUAAGUGUUCUUUGUAGAUUUUGAAGAAGAGCUUGAAGAGAGAGAAACUUGGGAAAUCAAAGGAAGCAACUUUAGGGUUUAGGGUCUUUGAUUAGAGUUCUCUUGGGUUGGGAAACAUUGUAAACACCUUGGUGAGUGAAAAUCAUUGAGUGUCUUGUUCAUUGGUGAGAUUGGGAAAAAAUGGUAGAAAUUAGGGUUGUUCUUUGUGAACUUGUCAAAGCUAAUUUCUUGUAACCCUUUUGUAUCUCUUUGGAAGAACUCAUUGAUAGUGGAUUAGAGAGUUCAAUCUCUCCUCCAGAGUAGGUCAAGUUUGGACCGAACUGGGUGAACAAUCUUUGGUGUGUUUGUUUCUCUCUUCUCUCCUUUUAUCUUGUGCUUAUGUUUUGUGCUUUUCACUUUGUUUCCUAGAUUAGAUCUAGGUGCUGUUAUUGUUGAUUAUUGCUUGCAUUCACUUUGUUAUUGGUUGCUACUUUCCUUUGCUCCACACAUCAUAGUUUAUAUUGGUGUGAUUUGAGACCGGAAUUCACAACAAUAUAUUUACAUAUUUUUUUCAAUAAUAUUUCAAAUUGCAAGUUAGUAUAGUGCUACGCUAUGGUCUAAACUCUAAAGACUAGAAAAAGGUAUCCAAUCUAAAAGGUAGCUAAUGGUCGUGUGUUUUGAAAAAGAAAUCCAUGGUGUGGACAACUAUUUUUUUCACGCCCCUUUAACAGUAGAAACAAAAUAGAAGUUUUAAGAGUCGUGGUAGAAUUUGCUAUUUUGCUUUGUCUGUCAAGGGAUUUGAAUUGAUUCGGGCAGCUUUGAUUCCUUAUGUUCCAGCUCCGUUCCAAAUGAAGUGUGAAACUCUGGUAGCAAUGGAUUGAAGAGCAAAGACUUAUGCGAUCAUAAUUAAUAAACUCAAAUUUAAACACACUCACAUAAAUAGAAAAAGGUUGAAAGAGAAUGCUCAUUUUUUUUCUUUAUAUUUAAAUAUUGAUUAUAAAAACUUUUGUUUCGUUCACAUUCAGUAUUGUCCAUGUACCGAUCACAGCCCUAUUGGUUGGCUAACUUAGAUGCAUAUAACAUCAAAGAUCUUGUUAACAAGUGCCCUUAGAGCACUAGUUAAGGAUUAUAAAAAGGAAACAAUUGCUAAAUUUUAGAUAGAAAAAGUUAGAUUUUAGUAUUUCAAUAAGUCAAAUACAUAAUUUUCAAAUAAAGUUUCUACUUUUAAGGCACUUGUUAACAUUUUUCUAACAUUAAUUAACAAAUCAAAUUACGACAUGUUGAUGGAGUAGAAGCUAAGGUAACCAACUAACAAAUCAAGAGCAGUUAGAGAUUUAGAAUAUACUUAAGAACUGAUAUCUCAUUGAUAAUGUGAUAAAAGAAAAAAAAACACAAGCCCAAUAUGAACGGAUCUGGAUUUCCUGCAGAUACGGUAGAACGCUAGGAGGUUAUAACAGUUCAUGACCGUCUGAUCUAAAUUGUGUGGUCGAGAUUGUUUAGAAUGAUUUUAUAACUGAGUUAAUUUAAACUGUUUGAUCUAAAUUAACGGCUGAGAUGCAAAUCAGCGACAAAACAUCAUGCUUUUUCUUAAGGAAAAAAAAAAACAUUAUGCUUUCUGACAGCAUGCAACUUAGGUCCAAUAUGAACUGGGGUUUACAAUAUCGUGGAUCCAAUUUUUUUUAAAAAAAUUAGUUGAAUGCAACUAAUGAAAAUUUGAAUUAAAUAAAUAUAAAAUUGAAGGUUUAACGUUGGAAUAUAUGUUUAAUUUUUUAAAAAAUAUAGAAAAUUUUAGUGGAACAAAAAAAUAUGAAUUUUGUUUGCAAACUCUUAUUUUUCCACACAAAACUAGAAGUGCUCGUUUUUUGUCCUCGAGGUCCGUUCAUAAAACUAGGUUAAUAAUCGAAUUACGAUCAUAUAAUCAACUUAAACUUUGUUUGCGAAUUGGAUUUUGGAGGGAAGGAAAUGGGAAAGAAAGGCUUAUGGAGAAUUCUUGUUUGGGAGUUUUAAAGAUAUUAGUUUAGGUUUAAGUUAAACAUUAAACACACGUUCCAGAGAUACACAUCCACAGUUUCCGAGUCAAAGACAGAUGUGGUGAAGACCCAAGAAAUUGAAGGUCCUACAACCUUUUUUUUACAGUAACAAAAUUAACUCUUUUUAUUCAUUAAUAACGUUUUUUUUUUUUUUUUUGAGAGGAUUUAUUCAUUAAAGUUGUAUUCUAUGACUUGGUCUUCAAGAUCCUUUAUUAUUAAAAUCGACACAAAUAGUCCCCGUGAGCUUAGCUCACUUGGUAAGGGAUAAUGCAUUAUAUAUGCAGGCUGGGGUUUGAAUCCUGGACACUCCACUAUUUCACAUUUAAGGUGAAUUUCUUUGGCCGCUAGGCUAAUUGAAAAAAAAAAAAAAAUCGACACAAAUAAUGGUCCAACAACCUUAAAUUUUUUAGAAUUUAAAAUUAUUACACUACUAUCAUUUUCCUUGACUUAAUUACCUGCAGAUGACGGUUAGUGUUCAUAUCACAAAUUUAUGUGAAUAAAAAAGUCUUCUUUGGUCUUCCACUAAAACCAAAAUACAAAUAAUUUUUUUGAGGCAAAAAAAAAAAAAAAUACAACAAAUUAUUAAAUAUAAAAACAAAUAAAAAAAGAAGAAAGAAUCCAACUUUUGUACAUGUAUAUAAUGAGACACCACCCUCCUUUGUUCAAAUCAUAUCAUAGCUAUAACAAUUAAAAAGCAUAUAGUAAAAUAUGGCAUCCUCAUUACACAACUAUGUUAUUAAUGUUGUUUUAUUCUUAGCCAUAAUUCAAUUCAAAACCACUUCUAGCUCUUCUCAUCACCAUCACCAUCACCACAAUAACCUAAAAUCCAUCCACUUUUCACUUUACCAACAUGAGACAAUAAACAAAACAGGUUAUAUUAUAGUGAAUGGUAUAAAAGGAAAUGCUGGAGUCACACAAACAACAACACCUUUUGGAACAUUAUUUGUGUUUCAAGAUCCUUUGACUCUAACAUCAAAUAGAUCCUCUAAACUAGUUGGAAUUGCUGAAGGUACUUCCAUCACCUCUAGUCUUGAUGGGCUUCGAAGCAUUUCGAUUGCGAAGCUAACUCUUCGUUUG